rnacentral:lncRNA from 1 species
CAAUAACUUUGCUAAUGUAGAAAAUCUGAAUUCAUGGCUGCCUCAUCUUUCUGCUUUAACAUAUUUGGACCUGACAUACAACAAUCUCAGUAAUGUUCCUGACUGGAUGGAAGCAGUUAAUAAACUCCCUAAACUUACAAACUUGUCUCUGUCUUAUUGCAGUCUUCCUUCUCGUCUAAUUCAUUCCAGUACUCUUUUUAACAUAAAUUCUUCUAAAUCUCUUGCUCAUGUUAAUCUCAGAUCCAACCAACUCUCAUUUUCUUCAUCUUCUUCCAUAUUUGUGUGGUUAUCCAAAUACAAUGCCGGCCUUGUUCAUCUUGACCUCUCUGAAAACCAAAUUGAAGGAGGGAUUCCGCAAUCUUUUUCCGGGUUAUGUAAUCAGCAAGAAUUGUACCUUUACAAUAACACUUUGAGUGGACAGUUUUCCUGGUUGGUUCAAAUAUUAAUGUCUGCAUGCCCUGAUCAGAACUCAUUAGAGACUCUGUCCCUCUCAAAGAAUCAUCUUUCUGGAUCAAUUCCUAAUCUCACAAACUUUUCAUCAUUGAAAGAAUUAUCUCUCGAUGACAAUCAAUUGAGUGGAACAAUACUUGAAAGCAUUGGGCAUAUGUCCACGCUUGAGGCUAUCUACCUUGGUAUGAAUGCUUUGGAAGGUGUGGUUUCGAAAAGCCACUUCUCCAACCUCUCCAGAUUAAGGAGUUUGGAUAUGUUCAAUACCUCACUAUCUUUAAGCUUCAGUUCUAAUUGGUCUCAUCCUUUCCAAUUAGAGUAUAUAAAAUUAUGGUCUUGUAAGGAGGGUCCACAUUUUCCAAAAUAGCUUCAAAAUCAGAAAAGUUAUAAGAGACUUGAUAUUUCUAAUGCCAGAAUUUCUGAUAUCCUUCAAAGUUGGUUUUGGAGCCUUCUGUCUCAUCAGGAUCUUAGAUCUAUUUCUAUAGAUUUUUCCCACAACCGAAUUAGAGGAACAAUUCCAAAUUCAAGAUUUGAGUUUUCCUCAUCUUCCUUUAGUCUAGUGAAUUUGAGUUAGAACUAAUUGGAAAGUCCAGUCCCUUCAUUCAUUUCCACAUCGAUAUCUUUAGAUCUCUCCAACAAUAAGUUUUUAGGGUUAAUUUCUUUCAUGUGUCCAAGGACUUCGAACAAGGUUAGUCAUAUAGCCUUUCUUGAUCUCUCAAGCAACAAUUUGUACGAACAACUUCCUAAUUGUUGGACACGUUUUGAAAAUCUUGCCUUUCUUGAUUUGAGUGAUAAUGCUCUUUUUGGAAAAAUUCCUACCACAAUGAGCUCUUUACCUUCUAUUCAAACACUAAAGUUAAACAAGAAUAGGUUUGUGGGGAAUUGACUUUAUCCUUGAAGAACUUUACCACACUCAGUGUUUUUAAUGCUAGAGAAAAUAACUUAUCAAGUUUGAUACCUGAAUGAUUAGGGGUUGAACUUCCAAAUUUGGCUAUCCUUAUCCUCCGUUCUAAUCACUUCUAUGGAAGCAUUCCACCACAAUUGUGUAAACCCAACCCCUAACCAUUCAGGUAUCAAACCUGAUAAGUUAUUUUCUCCAACAUCAAAAACACUGAGUGUGGUAAAGUUUUUCAAAGAUGAAGGCAAUUCCCCCACAAACCCAUUCUUGUUUAACUUCAGCGUUUGAAUAGAAGGUAAAUAGUCCGUUGUGGUAGGAAUUUUCCCAAAAAGAGCAUUAUCACUCAAAUCAAGAAAGCCAAGAUUUUCAAAACGUGUCCAACAAUUAGGAAGUUGUUUGUACAAAUUGUUGCUUGAGAGAUCAAGAAAGGCUAAAUGACUAACCUUGUUCAGAGUCUUUGGACACAUGAAAGAAACUAACCCUGAAAGCUUAUUGUUGGAGAGAUCUAGGGCUAUUGCUAUGGAAAGGAAUGAAGGGACUAGACUUUCCAAUCGGUUCCAUCUCAAAUUCACUAGACUAAAGGAAGAUGAGGGAAACUCAAAUCUUGAAUUUGGAAUUGUUCCUCUAAUUCGGUUGUUGGAAAGAUCUAUAGAAAUAGAUCUAGGAUCCUGAUGAGAUAGAAGACUCCAAAACCAACUUAGAAGGAUAUCAGAAAUUCCUGCAUUAGAAAUAUCAAGGCUCUUAUAACUUUUCUGAUUUUGAAGCCAUUUUGAAAAAUGUGGACCCACCUUACAAGACCUCAAUUUUAUAUACUCUAAUUGGAAAGGAUGAGUCCAAUUAGAACUGAAGCUUAAAGAUAGUGAGGUAUUAGACAUAUCCAAACUUCUUAAUCUGGAGAGAUUGGAGAAGUGGCUUUUCGAAACCACACCUUCCAAAGCAUUCAUACCAAGGUAGAUAGCCUCGAGCGUGGACAUAUGCCCAAUGCUCAACAAUUUGGCUAAAAAAGUAAGUUCAAGUAUAGCAUCCUUGAUAUGGAAAGGCAUUCUAUCCAAAUACAGAAGUACUAUGGGGCUUGUAAGUGUAUUCAUCUGUCAAGUAAUCGAUUAAUAGGGGAGAUUCCUAGGGAAAUCACUGAUCUUGUGAGGUUGGUUUCUUUAAACCUGUCAAGAAACAAUUUAACAUGUCAAAUAACUCCAACGAUCAGGAAGUUGGAGUCCUUAGAGUCCCUUGAUUUGUCAAGAAACCACAUAUAUGGUGGAAUACCAACAAGCCUUUUUCAAAUAUAUGGUCUUGGUGAUUUGGACUUGUCAAACAACAACUACAACAACAACAAAGCAUUUUCCCACUAAGUGGGACUCGGCUCCAAAGCCUUUUCAAACAACAACUAGUUUGGAAAAUUCCAAUUGGGACUCGGCUCCAAACCUAUGAUCCAUCUGAUUUUGCUGGAAAUACUCUACUUUGUGGAAUUCCACUUCAACAGUUGUGCUGUCCUGAGGAAACAAGUCCAGAGGAGCAACCAAUGUUUGGGGAUCAAGUUAAAGAUAAUGAUGGGCUUAUAACAACAUGAUUUUACUUGAGUUUGGCGCUUGGUUUUGUUGUUGGAUUUUUGGGAGUUUGUGGGAGUUUGAUAUUCAUCAGGUCAUGGAGAUACACAUGCUACAAGUUCUUGAAUUGUGUGUACGAUUGGCUUUUUGUGAGGGUGGCGUUGAUCAGGUGACGAAGAAUGAUUGAUGGGUAAAAUGUAAGUACUCUUGCACAUAAUGAAUAAUAUUAUUGCAGUUUUGAGUCUAUUAAAUUAUGACUAAUAUAUGUUGCGUUUGUUUUAAUCUUUUUAGCUCGUUCAUCUACCGUUGGCAAGCACUGCUCCCUUUAAACUAGAGAAGAAGGAGAUUGAAGAGUGCAAUUUGAAGUUAUAAUUUAGUGAAAGUGUUGUGUUUAAUUUAGUGGCCUUUUUGAGGCUAUUUACAGUGACCGUAUUCUUUAUGCCGACACCAAACUUUAAGUUCAUGUGGAAAUCUAUUUAUACGUUGAAUAACACACUAAUCUGUAAAUAUUUUUUUACAGAUAGUGUGCAAAUUUCUUUCUUUCAGACUGUGUAUGCUUAUGACGUGAUAAACAUAUUAGAAGUUUGCGAUUUAAUAUGUUACUCCCAAAUGUGAUUGUUAUUCUGUGAAUUCGCUAAAAUUUAAGGUUGUGUGUAUUGUUGUUUUUAAAACCCUUUGCUUAGUAAUACAUAAUUGAAUAUGAGCUCUUCCAUUUGAUAAUAUCUUAAACUGCUUAAGAUAUACAUCAUAAGCAACCAUGCUUACAAAUUUCAGCACUCUUAGAAACAACAUACACUAAUCUACAACGGUUUCUAAUCUUACUCAAGGCUUCAAAUACACUCGUGUGUCACAUGAUUUGAAACGUGCAAUUUAAUUACAAUGUAUUUGGAUUGCACAUUUCAAAUCUUGUGACACACAAGUGUGAGUGUUUUAGAUUGAUGAAUUUUAGUCAUCUAACGAGAUAUAAACUUGUUUCGUUCCAAGUGAGUAAUUAAGCAAAAAUAGUACUCAUGUGACCAGCAGGCAGCAAGGAUGUGAGGCAUCUGAUAUACAUGCAAUGGCUAAAGUUACUUACAAAACUAAACGAAACGUCGUCGUCUGUUAGCUGUGUUUGGGCCAAAAGCGUGGUCGUUUUGAUCAGAACAUUUCCGGGGCAAAAAGCAGAAGAGAAAGAUUGAAAUUCUAAAAAGAGAGAGUAAAAGACUGGGGCGAGGUCACGCUCCAGACCGCCGUCCACCGCCGUAGGCGAUCCGGCCAACUUGUUGACCUGCAGAGAUUCUAUAGCGAGGUCACGCUCGCGUUCUGGAGCGGCCUCCGCGACCUUCCGCCGAGUUCUCGUUCCUCCGCGUCCGCGGCCUCCUCAAUUUCCUCCGAUCCGUCGCCGAGUCCGAUUCCACCGUCAACCUCUUCUCUCAAACGCAAUUGCUCCCCGAGCUUCAAGGUAACCAGAAAAUUACAAAAUUCCUAGUACAUGGCGAGGAGGUUUGGGGAGAGAACGUGGUGGCUGCCUCAGUGAGUCACGUGGUUGCCGAAGUGACAAGGUUGUUGAAGGUUCAGCGCGGGAAAGUUUGGUUGAUUGGUGCAACGGCUAGCUAUGGAAGUUACUUGAAGUUUGUGGGGAGGUUUCCAUCUGUUGAAAAAAAAAAAAAAACUGGGACUUGCAGCUUCUGCCCAUCACUUCUCUCAGAGCUGCUUCCAUGGCUGAAUCAUAUCCCAGGUCCAGCUUGAUGGAGUCGUUUGUUCCAUUUGGUGGAUUCUUUUCAGCACCUUCUGACCUAAAGCUCCCACUCGCUGGGCUCUGCGGUAUUUGUAUGGAAAGUUUAGUUGAUUGGUGUAACGGCUAGCUAUGGAAGUUACUUGAAGUUUGUGGGAAGGUUUCCAUCUGUGGAAAAAAAACUGGGACUUGCAGCUUCUGCCCAUCACUUCUCUCAGAGCUGCUUCCAUGGCUGAAUCAUAUCCCAGGUCCAGCUUGAUGGAGUCGUUUGUUCCAUUUGGUGGAUUCUUUUCAGCACCUUCUGACCUAAAACUCCCACUCGCUGGGCUCUGCGGUAUUUGUAUGGUAGCCGAUGCAGCGGGAGUGGAGCAUCAUCGUUGGGCAGAGGAGAAGAAAACUGGAGACGAUGGAGACUGCCUGGCCAUCAUAGUAACUCGCUGCUGCUGACCAAUCACGAACCUUUGUUGGUUGUCUAAAGAACUUGACGUUUGACUGUCUCAAUGCUGACUUUUGAAGUUUCUGAUUUUGUAUUAUGGAAAUCGUAAUAAGAGCAUACGUAGGUUACAAAUAUAUAUGGGAGUUUGAGUGAGUUGCAAACUACACUCAACACUCAAGUUAUCUAUCCCAAAUCUCCUUGAAUCAUGCUAAACAGCCGGCAUAGGUAACAUAACUAAGCUCCUUGGAUUAAGGAGUUGACAACAAGAUAAGACCCUUAUACAAGUUGAUGAGAACAAGAAAAUAAAUGGCUAUUAACUAGGUAAAACACUAAUAAGGUUGACACAAACCCUAUUACCCAGAUAAUACUGAGAAACACUAAUCAUGAGGAACCUUAAGUAACCAGAGGUCUUUCAAUACUCCCCCUUAAGCUGGAUCCAGAAGUUUGAUGGAUCCAAGCUUGCUGAGAAGCUUUUGAAACUGAUGGGAGGCUAAUGGUUUGGUGAAUAAGUCUGCAAGUUGAUUGUAGCUCCUGCCAAAAUGAGUUUUGAUGACCUGUGAUUGUACUUGUGCACGAACAUAGUGACAAUCAACUUCAAUGUGCUUGGUUCUCUCGUGGAAGACGGGGUUGGAAGCAAUGUGCAUUGCUGCCUGGUUGUCACAGAAAAAGGGACAUGGAGUGAGGAGUGAAGACAUCUAAGUUACAUAGUAGACCUUUCAGCCAUAUUAGUUCACACGCAAUAGAUUCCAUGACUCAAUAUUCAGCCACAUCACUUGAUCUUACAACGACUGCUUGCUUUUUACUUUUCCAUGUAACAAGGUUGCCUCCCACAAACGUGCAAUACCCCAUUGUAGACUUACGAUCAAUAGAGUUGGCAACCCAAUUAGCAUCAAAUAACCUGUGAUCUAAGUGCUCUCAUUCUUCUUCAUGAUUAUGCCACGACCCACUGAACCUUUUAGGUACCGAAGUAUUCUUUUGACAAGAUUAAAAUGCUCUAUCGUGGGAGAGUGCAUAAAUUGGCUAGCAAUGCUUACUGAAUAGGCUAUGUGAGACCUUGUAAUAGUCAAAUAUAUCAACUUACCAACAAGUCGUUGAUAAUAGCUUAUGUUUAGAAGUGGUUGCCUCUUCAAGCUGAGUUUGAGCUUGAUGUCAAGAGGUGUAUGGACAUGUUUAGCAUCACUCAUGUUUGCUUCCUUGAGAAGAUCCAUGACAUAUUUCCGCUGGUUGAGAAAGAAACCCUUGUGAGAGGUUGCCAUUUCUAUUCCAAGACAAUAUCUCAGUAUUCCAAGAUCUUUGAUUGCAAAACGUUGUUGUAGUGAAUGCUUGAGCUUCUUUAUUUCUUCAGGGUUGUCUCCUGUAAUGAUCAAAUCAUCUACAUAUACAAGGACUACCAAUUUCCCAGCAGUUCUUGUGCACACGAACAAUGAGGAGUUUGCGUUGCUUCUUUUAAAACCAACACUUGUAAGGACUAAACUGAGCUUGGCAUACCAAGCUCUCGGUGACUGUUUAAGACCGUAAAUUGAUUUGUGCAAUUUACACACAACAUCAUGUUCAUGACUUUGAGGAUGACUUGGGGGUAAUCUCAUGUAGACUUCUUCUUCAAGAUCACCAUGUAAAAAGGCGUUCUUUACAUCUAUUUGAUACAUAGGCCACCCUUUGUUAACAACAACUGAAAUGAGUACUCUCACUGAGUUCAUCUUUGCAACAGGAGAAAAGGUUUCCUUGUAGUCCACAUCAAAUGUUUGAGUAAAUCCAUGAGCCACUAAUCUUGCCUUGUGUCUUUCUAUGGACCCGUCUGAGUUGAAUUUAACCUUGUAUAUCCAUUUACAACCUACUGUCUUAUUUCCUUUGGGUAGUGUCACAAUGCUCCAGGUUUUAUGUUGAUCAAGGGUAUGCAGUUCAUCUUGCAUAACUUGCUGCCAAACCUGUGAUUGAUUUGCUUCUUGAAAUGACUGAGGCUCAACAUGCUCAGAUACAUUACAAACAAAAGCAGUGUAUUUAGAUGACAAUUUUUGAUAGGACACAUAGUUGGACAGUGGAUGCCUUGGCUUGUAAGUGACAAAGUCUUGCAGUCUUGUUGGAUGAUGUCUUUCACGAAUGGGAUUUCGUUGAGGCGCAGCAGAAUGAGACUCGUAUGAAGAUUCCUCAGGUGCAACAUUAUGGAGAGAUUCAUCUUCAACAGAAGUGUUGGUGUCAUCACUUGAAUCUGGUUGGUCAGUUGCAGCGCGGGACUUUGUGUGAUGUGCAGACACCAUUGCAUUAGAUUGAGUGACUUCAGUGGCAAGUAUCUCAGUCCAUGGCAAUGGAAAAAGGUCCAAGAAACACUUCCCAUGACUUAUACUAUCCAGAGAUUUGCUGUAAUAAGGGUUAGUUUCAUGAAAUCUAACAUCCUUGGAAACAAUUAAUCUCUUAAGUUGUGGAUUGUAACAUUUGUAUCCUUUUUGUGUGGAUGAGUAACCAAGGAAAAUACAUUUGGUUGCCCUAGGAUCUAGUUUGUCUCGAUGCAAGGGCUGAACAUGGACAAAACAAAUGCAUCCAAAGACCUUAAGGCGUUGCAAGUCCACUUUUCUAUUUUUGACCAUUUCCAUUGGUGAUUUGAACCCCAAAACCCUGCUAGGUAACAUGUUGAUCAAGUAAGCUGCUGCCACAACACUUUGAGACCAAAAUCAUUUUGGUACAUUCAUUUGGAACAUCAAGGCCCUAGUUUUUUUAAGAAGAUCUCGAUUUUUUCUCUCAACAAUACCAUUUUGUUGGGGUGUGCCAACACAAGCAUGAUGCCAUUGUUGCUCAAAUAUUGAGUCAUGACUUGGGACAUCUAUUCGGUGCCAUUAUCAGACCUUAGAGUUUUGAUUUGAGAGGAAAAAUGAUUUUUAACAAGGUUAUGAAAGUCCUUAAACACUUCCAUCACUUCACUCUUUGAUUUUAACAAAUAUAACCAAGUGGCUCUUGAAUAAUCAUCAACAAAGGUUAUGAAAUAUUUGUAACCAUCAAAAGAUUCACUAGUUGGUCCCCAUAUAUCAGAGUGUACAAGUUUAAAAAGAUGAAAAGCUCUAGACAAAGAUGAACCUUGAGCUAGUCUAGUUGCCUUUGACAUAUGGCAAGUUUCACAGUGAAUUUGUUCUUUGCUUAGGUCGGGAAACAAGGUUGACAAAACAUGUUGAGAAAGGUGAGCUAGUCGCUGGUGCCACAAGGAAUGAUCUUGAUGGAGGCAUGGAUGAACUUAGACUUGGCUUGGAAUCCAUUGGGAGAGCUUUUCGAUAUGUAAUAGAGACCGUCUAGGUAAAACCCCUCACCAAUCGUCCUCUUGGUGACACAAUUCUGAAAAAUGACAUUUUCUGGUGAAGAAAUGGCUAAAUAGUUUAAGGAAUUUGUGAUUUUUCCCACUGAGAUAAGUUGGAAUGGAAAUGAAGGAACAUAUAAGGCCAUAGACUCUAUUUGGUCUGAUAUCAAGUGAAUUUUUCCCUUUCCUACAAUCCUAGCACCUUCACCAUUAGCUACAGACAUAUGUGAUGGUUUAUGAAGUUUCUAAAAUUUAUGCAAUUUUGACACUUGAUUAGUCAUAUGAUUUGUGGCACCUGAAUCUACAACCCAAAAAUCAUGCAACUUAUUGAUUGUAAGAGCAGUUUCGAAAGCAUUCACGAUACCUUUCAUGUCUUGUUGAGGUAAGCGAUCAGCAUCGACAAAAAAACUUGCAAACUUGCCCAACAAUGCAGUGGCACUUCCAUAUGGUCAACAACUCGAUCUUCCCUUCCCGUCUUCUAUUGGAGAUAGGCUGCAAACUUAUUUAUAAGAGUAGCAAGAUUUGUAGUGAACUGUUGGUAAGAAUUUGAACUGUUGAUAGAUGAAGAUGAUGCAGUGUUGGCAUGAGGAUAUGCUUGACUUGUCUUCUGUGCAAUCUUAUCCUUCAUGACUUCAGGCUUGAGCUUUGGAUGCAGGAUCCAACACUUAUCUCUCACAUGCUCGAUGUUGUCACAGUGUAAGCACUUCAGAUGAGGGUUUUUUCCUUUGUACCUUUUUUCAUGUCAGAUAAGCCCUAGCUUCAAUCACAUUGGUUUUUGUACCACUGUUCAUGACUUUUCUUCUCACUUCCUCACGUUAGAUGGUUAAACAAAUGCUAGUGAAGGAUGGUAGCUCAGGAUUCAUGAGGACAUGACUUCUCAAAUCCUCAUAUUCUGAGCUCAAGCUAGACAUCAAUUGAAAUUUUUUAUCUUCUUCAGUUCUUUUAAGAAUCACCUUGGGAUCAGUUGUAUGAGGUCUGUAGACAUCUAGCUCAUUCCACAUGCUUCUUAGAGAACCAAGAUGUUGAACAAAAGUUUUACCUUUUUGUUGAAUGUUGGAGAUAUCAUUCUUGAGUUGAAAGAUGCGUGCAAAGUUGUUUUAAUUACCAUACAUCUCCUUCACAAUUGUCCAGAGAGUGAGAGAUGACUCAGAAUAGCUGAAGAUUUCAGCAAUCUUCCUUUCCAUGGAAAUAAGCAACCAUGACAUGACCAAUUGAUCUUUACAAAGCCACCCUUCAUAUUUUGGAGAAGUAACUUCAAGAGCAGAAUGACUGCCAUUGAUGAAACCAAGUUUGGAUCUUCCACCAAGCGCAAGACUAACAACUCUUGCCCACGACACAUAAUUAAACUCAUUCAGUAACACUGAACUAAGUCGUUUAUUUGGAUUGAUAUCCAUUUUAGAGAUGCUAGCAGAAGGAGAAGCAAUGAUGCUUUCAUCCUCUAAAUUCUCAUCAGUUAUAUUUUUGCUGAAGGAAAAUCACAACAAGUGAGAUAUACAAAGAUAGACUCAGAAGGAUGCCCGCUCUAAUAUCAUGUUGACUUUUGAAGUUACUCAGAAGGAUGCCCGCUCUAAUACCAUGUUGACUUUUGAAGUUUCUGAUUUUGUAUUAUGGAAAUCAUAAUAAGAGCAUACGCAUGUUACAAAUAUAUAGGGGAGUUUGAGUGAGUUGCAAACUACACUCAACACUCAAGUUACCUAUCCCAAAUCUCCUUGAAUCAUGCUAAACAGGCGGCACAAGGAACAUAACUAAGCUCAUUGGAUUAAGGAGUUGACAACAAGAUAAGACCCCUAUACAAGUUGAUAAGAAUAAGAAGAAAAUAAACGGCUAUUAACUAGGUAAAACACUAAUAAGGUUGACACAAACCCUAUUACCUAGAUAAUACUAAGAAACCCUAAUCAUGAGGAACCCUAAGUAACCAGAGGUCUUUCAAUACUCAACUUGUACAAUUCCUUGUUGAAUAUGGGCCCACGAGAGAUGUGAAGAUGAUUGAUUGGCGUUUGAAAGCUGUCCCAUGAAAAUAGUGUUGAAAGCCCAACACCAACGCCAAUCCAAAACAAAGGCGACCCUACAUUUGUGGGUGGGGGAGGUACUGAGAUUUGUGGUUUGACACCAACUGAAGAUGUUUCUUGGGUACUCGAAGAAGAAAUGCUCGCAAAACAUUCCGCUUCUAACUUUGUUGGGAGGCGAGUGGCACUGAAGCGACCAUUGGCUCUGGAAUUCUGGUGAUUUUUGGAGUUUCUGAGAUUCGCAGAGCAUUGAAAGAGAGGGAACCGACUAGAGUCUAUCUUUUUUUUUUCUUCCAAAGAAUAUGUUGCCUUUGUAAUAAAAUUGACUUUCAUUAGUCAAGCCUUUAUUUUGAUGUGACUGAACUCGAAGUUGAAUGUUCGAGCUACCUACAUACCCUUCCAAAGAAGAGAUCAAGUCAGAACGUAGUUCAAAUAUGUUUUGUUUUUGUGCUGUACGCAGUUUAUGCUUAUGCGGGCCAGGAGCAUUUGGUGCCAUUUGCAGUUUCAACUCAUGCAGGCAAUAAACUCUUGGUGUGGAUUUGGUGCUGUUUGCAGUUUCAGCUCGUGUAGGCAAUGAGCGUUAGUUGUCGCCUUUUAGGCUCGUGCGGACGAUGAGCUCUUGGUGUAGAUUUGUCAAGCGAUCUUGGAGAGGUGUUCAUCGCAAUCUUUAUAGCAAGAAGUCUUGAUCGAGGGAUUGAAGAAGUCUUCGGGGAAGAAAUCGCGCAUCGUGAUGGGGAUGGACGAUCUUCGUGUCGAAAUUUCAUCAUCCUCAACACUUUCACGUUGCCUUGGAGGUUGACAAGAGCUUCUUUGCCCUAUUUUCGAUUGUUGAACUUGUGGACGACAAGUGUCACGCCCCGAUCCCGACAUACGUCCAAGAUCGACACGUGAUGUCAACAAAUACCCAUAUCUCAAAAGUCAACCCUCGGUCAACGGUAGGGUCCACAACUCUACAUAAUUCGAUCCGAAAGAUCAACCCAUCAGAUUUCAGAUCCGUAACUUCUUAAGGUCUCAUUAUACUCAUAAAACAUCAUACUAAAGUCUCACCAUAAUUCGACGGUUGGAUCUUCGCCAAUUGCUAGAAUUAGGUGGCGGUUAACAAUUAAUUUUACUAACUUAGAAAUCUAAUUCGGGAAAACCCAUACGUCGGAUUCCCGAUCCGUCAGCUCCAGCUAUCCUCAAAUAUUACGUUCUAUAACGCAUUAAAGUUUGGUGACGAUCCAACGGUCGAUUCAUAUUUUGAUCAAGUAAUGUAUCGUAAUGAAACGAAGUUCAAACAAUCAAACCACUUCAUAUGGAUAUCAAUUAUGAAUUCAGGGCAUUUAAUUGGACUUAGAAAGACAUCGUCGGCCCACUGGCCACGCGUCGCCGCCGAUGGUGGUCAGCAGCCACGACUCGCCGGAAAAUUCAACAAUUUCCAAAAUUUAUCAAAACUCAUAGAAUUGUAGAUCUCAAUGAGUAUAGCAAAUUUUGUACCUGUGACCAAGGCCAAUUUGGCCUGGAAACACUCCAAAUCACCACGCACCCGCCAGAACCCUAGAAAGAGUGUGCUCCAAUUCUUCCUCCUCGGUGUUCCACCACCCCUACAACUGAUUGGGAUUUGUUCAGGGGCUCAAUGGGAGUCUAAUGGUGGUAGAGAUAGAGGUAAUUUGCAUCAAAAAUUGGCGGAUUGUCACCAAGAACACCAUAGUGCUGCCGCACCCUACGAUGUGGUUUUUCACAAAAUCAAGGCCAAACAUCUUCAAUUUUUGGGUGUAAUAGGUAGAUGAAACGAUAAGGAAUGUCCCGAUGGUUAAGUGACGGGAUUUGCCGGAAAAACCUACGAAAUCCACCGGAAAGAUCAAGGGGAACCGGUAGAGUCGAAAUAAAGGGGGACGAGUUGAUGAUCUCAUGCCUUCCCCCACCCUAAUUUCCCCACCUUUCUUCUCUUGCUGAUUGGUUCUCCCCUCCUAUCCUUUAUUUCUAAUUGGUCCCUAAAAGAAACUGAUUGGUCUCUUUCUCAAUAUUGAUUGGGCCUCUUGUGGGAAUUUAUUUAACUUAAAAACUAUAGUAUAGUAAGACGACUUCAAAUGUCCGUAACUAUACCGUUAUAAUCCGGAUUCUCAAACGGCUUUCGCCUAUGCGCUCGUGGUUUCGAGAUCUAUUCGAAAACAUUAACUGUGACCUCGAAAGGUCUAUAGAUUUUAAUUAAUUAAUUUCCAAACUUCAAACUUUCUAAUUAGUUUAAUUAAAAUCUAAAUUCAAAUAAAUUGAUAUAAAUUCUCGAAAAAAUAAUAUACAAUCUUAAUAAUACCAAUACGUAGAUUAUAAUAGUGAAAUCCAGGAACGGGGUUUCACAACACGUAUGCUUUUUGUGCAGUUUCUUUGGAGUGACAUGAGUUCAUCCUUCAACUUCACUUGGCUUGACUGGUAUGGUUUUGGAGCAUGCCCCCAACGAUUGAGGUGAAGAUAUUGAGUUGGAAGAGCCAAAAGUGACGGUGGUAUGGUUUGACCCUAACACAUCGUUAAGAUCUAGCUUGAUGAUUCCUUUUUGGGCCAGCUUCAUGAUGAGAUCUUUUAGCACGAAGCACAUUUCCGUCAAUGACUGAUGAAGCGGUGGUACUUACAAUAUAUUGGGUUGCCGGUGCGAUUCAUCUCUUCCAGCCGUUUGCACUCGGGUAAAUCGAUCACCUUUUUGUUGAGCAAGUCCUUCAACAUGGCAACCACAUCAGAGUCGGGGAAUGGAUAAGUCUUCUUCUCAAGCUCCUUCAAAGUGCGUUUACGCCUUUCUUGGUCACUAAAAGCUUUGGUCCGAAUCACCUUGUCUCGUGUAAAGAUUUUAACGGAAGCUGCGUUGACCACCAUUGCUUUAUUGAAACCCUCACGAAUUUGUCCAUUUUCUGCCCAAAGACCUUGUCAUUUCUGUAGUUAGCAAUCGGUUAUUUCUUCUCAUGAUGGGCAAUGCUCAACUCAAUGUCGUGGGCGGGGGUGGCUAACUCCUCGAAGGUCCACGGUUUGAUGCCUUGAAGAAUGUAGUGUAAUCCCCAAUGCAUGCCUUGUACACACAUCUCCGAGAGUCUGUCUUUGCAGUCAAGACUUAGAGUGCGCCAUCGGUUGAUGUAGUCGACGAUUGGCUCAUCCUUCCAUUACUUUGUACUUGUGAGCUCCAUCAUGCUGACAAUGCGACGAGUACUGUAGAAACGGUUUAAAAACUCCCGCUGCAAUUACUCCCAGCUGUUGAUGGACUCGGGUUCUAGGUCCGUGUACCAAUCGAAUGCAUUCCCAUUCAGACAGCGGACAAACUACUUUGCGAGGUAGUCUUUCUCAGUCCCCGCAUUGUUGCAAGUCUCGACGAAAUAGGCGACGUACUGCUUUGGGUUUCCUUUUCCAUCAAAUUGCAUGAACUUAGGUGGCUAAUACCUCAUCGGCAUCCGCAAGCCAUCAAUCCGCCUGGUAUAUGGCUUCGCAUACAGCAGUGUAUCCCGCGAAGUGUCUCCUACCUGUGUUCUGAUGGUGUUCGCAAUCAUAUCCUGGAGCUGCUGGAUGGAAAGAGAGCCCAUCGAGGUAGCUUCAGUCUCCGGUUAAUGUGAUUGAUUUAGCUUUAUAGUUGUUUCUUGUGGUUAACACUAUGUUGAUCUAUCAUAAUAUAGUAUAUGGAGAAUCAAGUCUUGCCCUUAAUUUUGGGUAUAAUAAAUUGGUAUUGAAAUCACUAUUCACGAGGUUCGAACGUAAGACAUUCACUUACAAGUGAAGUUGAAGUACCAUUAGACCGUAAUACUAAGUGUCAUUUGAAAUUGAUCAUAAAUUAAAAUCUCAAUUGCUAAAUUAAUCAAAAUUAAAUAUUGACCACAUAAUAUCAAAGAUUGACAACAAUACAAUCACGUAUUGACGAUGUAUAAAAAAAUUGGUCAUUUUAGUAAUUAGAAUUUGAAAGAUGAUCAUUUUGAUCAAUUUUUCAAGUAACUUAACAAUUAAAAACAUAAGGAAAAAAAAAGAAUGAAACACGAGUAAUGAUAUGAAUGUAGUUUGUUUGUUUUGUUUUGUUUAUACUCCAUUUCUUCCAUGUAACUUCACUUCAAAUUCAUAAACAAUGAAGUUUCUUCAAUUUACAUUGUUAAAACUAGAAGAAUUGGGAAUAAGAAUUUUUUGGCCCAUCCUUGUCUACCAUUUUUAGACGAGGAAAUAUUGGAUGUCAUUGAAUAUAAGGCAUAAUGAUCUCUGAAAAUUUAAUUUACAUUCCAUUCGACGUAACUGCAAUGGUUAAAUUGAUGAAUUUUCACUUAUUUAGUAAGAUAUAAAUAAACUACAACCAAUUACCAAUUGAAACGUGUAAAAAUAAACGGAAACGUCGUCGUCUGUUAGCUAGGGUACCAAAAUGUCGUCGUUUUGGUCAGAACAUUUCCGGAGCAAAAGCCAGAGGAGAAAAAAAAAUCUCCAGUGUGAGAGUAAACAACUGAGGCGAUGUACUUGAAGAAGCCGCUAUGGAGCGAGGGGAUAACGCUGAAGCCCUCGUCGGAAUCUGAACCAGAGCCGCCGUCCACCGCCGUAGGCGAUCCGGUCAACUCGUUGACCCAGCAGAGAGUGUACCGCGAGGUCAUGCUCGCGCUCCGGAGCGGCCUCCGCGAUGUUCGCGCCGUGUUCUCCUUCCUUGUGUCUGCGGCCUCCACGACGUCCUCAAGUUCCUCUGAUCGGUCGCCGAGUCCGAUUCCACCAUCAACCUCUUCUCUCAGACACAACUCCCCGAGCUUCAGGGUAAUCAGAAAAUUACAAAAUUCCUAGUUUCUGCUUAAUAUUUUGUUUAAUUUUUCUGAAUGUUGAAAUUGAUUUAUUCAUCGUUUUACAGUCGUGGCGAUUCUGUUUGGGCACUCGCUGAAAGAUUCGGGCGAUGAGAUAGUGCGGAAUUUGGAUCACAUAUUCGGCGUCGAGCCGCUGAAGAUCACAAGCCCUUCAACCGAUUUCGAGGUCUCGCUUGCGCUUAGGGUUUUGGAGGGUUGCUGCCUGCUUCAUUCGGACAGCGCGGUUUUGGCUCAUCAGCACAAGGCCAUUCAGGUACUCAAUGUAGCUAAAUAGCUUAACCAAAAUUUAUGGAGGUUGGAUUUCUGAGAUGAGAACGCAGUUUCUGUAAUUGGGUAUUUGUAGGUUUUGAUGAAUAUAUUACCGACUAGCGGCGUGAUUGAGCAAGGAGCUUGUUUGGAUGCUUUGAUUGCUACUAUGUUGGACUCAUCAGCUAAUCAAAUGGUAAAGCUUCAAACUUCAGUUUCGCGUCAAAUUAAUGGUGUAUAAUUGAUUUGUAGAGAUUCUGUAUAAAGUUUUGAUUCAUUUCCCUCGAAAUCUCAUGAGAAGACGUGACAUAUGUUGAUGCUUAAAAUACAUCCCAAUUGAAUACACCCCUUAUUGUGAUUGGUUUCGAAGCGGUGAUGGGUUUUUUAUGAUUGAAUUGUUUUCUUGUGUGUAAUGUGUAGGAUUUUGAGGCUUUUCAUGGUAUUGAGGAAGUUGCAGAGCUCAUAAUGGGCAAGCAAGUUGAUGAGAAUCUCAGGUUUUGAUUUAUUUCUCUUUGCUUGCUUGAUUCUCGUUGUCUCUUUUCAAAAAAAAAAAUUCUCGUUGUCGUGAGUUGUGAUUUGAAGCUCCAUCUACUUAGUGUAGUUUUCAAAGGGUAAAGUCUUUUGAAUUAGUCCUCUUGAUAAAUUCUUUGGUAAAAAUGUUAAGUUUUUUGCAAAAAUAGGUUUGUGGUAGCCACACAGUUGCUGUGUGUGCUACUACUUCUUCAAAAUCAUCAUUAUCACAGGCAAUGCCAUUUUUCGACUUGUUCAUCGGACGAUUCUUAAUAGAAUCCCGUCUUUCCUUAUUUUCUAGGAUUUUAUUUAAACCAUGUUGUUUUGCUCAUUUUCAUGUUUGUCAAUUGAGUAACGAGGUCAUCUGCUAUGAAUGAAUUAGAGUUGAGGAUUCUGAACACUGGUGUGCCUAGGCUGGAUCCUUUCUUUGCUAAUAUAAUGCACACUGAAGAAAAACGUGUGUUGCUUUUGAUUAGGUUGAAAUGUGGAGAGUUCUUGCUGCUUCCGAUUGGUCAUGUAAAUGGGAGGGAUAGGCCACCCUUGGCGACUGUACAUGAGGACAUAUGAAGUCUUUUGGGUGAGAAAUCUGCUUCCUUGAUAUGGGCAGCCAGUCAAUUUUGUUUUGUUUUUCUCUGUAUUUCAAUGAAGUACAAUCAGUAAUUUGUAAGAAAAUGGUCGGCUUCAAUGAAAUGUUUGCCUUGACAUUUUGUGCAGUAUAAUUUCAAAAUCAUACAACAUUCUACGGACUAUCGUCACGGUAGCUAAAAUUCCUCAUGCGAGUCUGGAAGCCCACGCAUUAACAAUAAUCACACAAUAAACGAAAGGUCACAAGUGAAAAAAAUGCAAGGAACUGUUGUCGCUAAAAGACCAAAAAUCAAUAAUAAUAUUCCAAAAGUAUUGUAUUGAUCAAAUGACAGUGAUGAUUCUUUACUAACAACAAUUUAGCAUAAUUUCUAUGCAAAUACAUUUAAGUCGGUCAAUUAUUGUGUCUUCUAAUCUACUAACUCCAAGACUAAAUUUGUAAAGACCCCAGUCGCGUUGGAAUUAUUUGAUAUACCGGAAACUCUUGAUAACUUGGUGUCAAUAACCUUGAAGUAUCGCAUGGGGUCAAAGUCAAGACAAUAUUUCCACUUGCAUCGUGGAAAUUUUGGUUUGCGGGUACUAUUGUUCUCAACUUGUAAUUUACUCUGAAGCGUGAUUAAGACAAAUGACAAACGAAAGUAGAGAAGAAUCAUCUAUCUUGUGGGAGUCUUUCAUCCUUCCUUGUAUCCUCCAAAACAACUUUUGACUGUUUGCAACUUGUUUGGAAAAUAAAUGUGAAUUUGUCUCUCAAGAGUUGAGGUGUUUUCCUGUAUUUUAGCCUGGUCUAAAUAACGCGCAUUUUGACUAUUUGCAACUUGUUUAGAACAUAAAUGUAAAUUUGUUCUCUUAAGAGUUGAGACGAUUUCCGCGUUUUUUAGUGUGGUCCAAAUAACGUGAAUUGCACGCAUAUAUGUUGUUUUUUAAUUCCAAAAAAACAAAAAGACUUCUAAAACGUAAACAAUACAUAAAUGUAAUUCAAAGAAGCAGAUGUAUCGGUACAUAAGUUUCGGUACGAUAUAUCGAUACAUAAGUUUUGGCAUGAUGUAUCGGUACAUAAGUUUCGGUACGAUAUAUCGAUACAUAAGUUUUGGCAUGAUGUAUCGGUACAUAAGUUUUGGUAUGAUUGCAUCAGUACAUAAAUUUCGAUACGAAUGCAUCGGUACAUAAGUUUUGGUACGUUGUAUCAAUACAUAAUCGGUACGAUUGCAUCGAUACAUAAGUUUCGGUAAGAUGUAUUGGUACAAAGUUUUGGCAUGAUGUAUCAAUACAUAAGUUUCGGUACGAUUGCAUCAGUACAUAAGUUUCGGUACCGAUGCAUCGGUACAUAAGUUUCGGUACGAAUGCAUCGGUACAUAAAUUUCAGUACGAAUGUAUCGGUACAUAAGUUUCGGUACGAUUGCAUCGGUACAUAAGUUUCAGUACAAAUGCAUCGGUACAUAAAUUUCGGUACGAAUGUAUCAGUACAUAAGUUUCGGUACGAAUUUAUCAAUACAUAAGUUUCGGUACGAAUGUACCAGUACAUAAAUUUCGGUACGAUUGCAUCCGUACAUAAGUUUCGGUACAAAUGCAUCGGUACAUAAGUUUUAGCACGAUGUAUCGGUACAUAAGUUUCGGUGCGAUUGCAUCCGUACAUAAGUUUCGGUACGAUGUAUUGGCACAUAAGUUUCGGUACGAUUACAUCGAUACAUAAGUUUCGGUAAGAUGUAUUGGUACAAAGUUUUGGCACGAUGUAUCGGUACAUAAGUUUCGGUACGAUUUGCAUCAGUACAUAAGUUUCAGUACGAAUGCAUCGGUACAUAAAUUUCAGUACGAAUGUAUUGGUAUAUAAGUUUCUGUAUGAAUGUAUCGGUACAUAAGUUUCGGUAUGAUUGCAUCGGUACAUAAGUUUGAGUACAAAUGCAUCGAUACAUAAAUUUUGGUACGAAUGUAUCAGUACAUAAGUUUUGGUACGAAUGUAUCAGUACAUAAGUUUCGGUACGAUUGCAUCCGUACACAAUUUUCAGUACGAAUGCAUCGGUACAUAAGUUUUGGUGGAAUGUAUUGGUACUUAAGUUUCAGUACGAUUGCAAUGGUACAUAAGUUUCGAUACUAUGGCGAAGCAUCUGAAGCAUAACUGCACACUCACACGAUCUUUGUUGAAAGGUAGGAGCAUUCGGUAGAACCGGUGAACUAAAGUACAUAUGUAUUAAUAGACACCUCAUGGGGAAGAGAAGAACUCAAGCAAGAUGGUUGCAAAUGGCUUGGCGUCCACUGCAGCAACCGAACCAACCAUGUUACUUAACUUCAUCUUGGAUGGAAACAUAUGGGUAAAGUUUACUCACUUCAACAUAAAGGACAACAGGAAUAUCUCGAAUGUUAUUUGCAAGGUAAAAUGAUGAGUCCUAAAUUAAUUGAGUUUAGGACUCAUCAUUUUAAUGUUUGCAUGCCCUGAUCAGAACUCAUUAGAGACUCUGGACCUCUCAUCCAAUCAUCUUUCUGGAUCAAUUCCUAAUCUCACAAACUUUUCAUCAUUGAAAGAAUUAGUUCUCUAUGACAAUCAAUGGAGUGGAACAGUACCUGAAAGCAUUGGGCAUGUCUACGCUCGAGAGUAUCUACCUUGGUAUGAAUGCUUUGGAAGGUGUGGUUUCGGAAAGCCACUUCUCCAAUCCCUCCAGAUUAAGGAUUUUGGAUAUGUUUUAUACCUCACUAUCUUUAAGCUUCAGUUCUAAUUGGACUCCUCCUUUCCAAUUGGAAUUGAUACAUUUGAGCUCUUGCAUGAUGGGUCCGCAUUUUCCAAAAUGGCUUCAAACUCAAAAAAGUUAUCAGGACCUUGAUAAUUCUAAUGCAGGAAUUUCUGAUAUGUUGUUUUCUAAUUCCGCAAAAUACAAAAAGACUUCUAAAAUGUAAACAGUACAUAAAUGUAAUUCAAGGACGUAGAUGUAUCGGUACAUAAGUUUCGGCACGAUGUAUCGGUACAUAAGUUUCGGUAUGAUUGCAUCAGUACAUAAGUUUCGGUAUGAAUGCAUCGGUACAUAAAUUUCGGUACGAUGUAUCAGUACAUAAUCAGUACGAUUGCAUCGAUACAUAAGUUUCGGUAAGAUGUAUUGAUACAAAGUUUCGGCACGAUGUAUCAAUACAUAAGUUUCAGUACGAUUGCAUUAGUAUAUAAGUUUCGUUACAAAUGCAUCGGUACAUAAGUUUCGGUAUGAAUGUAUCGGUACAUAAGUUUCAGUACGAUUACAUCGAUACAUAAGUUUCAGUACAAAUGCAUCGGUACAUAAAUUUCGGUACAAAUGUAUCAAUACAUAAAUUUCGGUACGAAUGUAUCAGUACAUAAAUUUCGAUACAAAUGUAUCAGUACAUAAGUUUCGGUACGAAUGUAUCAGUACAUAAGUUUCGGUACUAAUGUAGCAGUACAUAAGUUUCGGUACGAUUGCAUCAGUACAUAAGUUUCGGUACGAAUGCAUCAGUACAUAAGUUUCGGUACGAUGUAUUGGUACAUAAGUUUCGGCACGAUGUAUCAGUACAUAAGUUUCGGUAUGAUUGCAUCCGUACAUAAGUUUCGGUACGAUGUAUCGGUACAUAAGUUUCGGUACGAUUGCAUCGAUAUAUAAGUUUCAGUAAGAUGUAUUGGUCCAAAGUUUCGACACGAUGUAUCGGUAUAUAAGUUUCGGUACGAUUGCAUCAAUACAUAAGUUUCGGUACGAAUGCAUCAGUACAUAAGUUUCGGUACGAAUACAUCGGUAUAUAAAAUUCAGUACGAAUGUAUCAGUACAUAGUUUCGAUACGAUUGCAUCGAUACAUAAGUUUUAGUACAAAUGCAUCGGUACAUAAAUUUCGGUACGCAUUUUCCAAAAUGGCUCCAAACUCAAAAAAGUUAUCAGGACCUUGAUAUUUCUAAUGCAGGAAUUUCUGAUAUCCUUCCAAGUUGGUUUUGGAGCCCUCUGUCUCAUCAGGAUCUUGGAUCUAUUUUUAUAGAUCUUUCCAACAACCGAAUUAGAGGAACAAUUCCAAAUUCAAGAUUUGAGUUUCCCUCAUCUUCCUUUAGUAAAGUGAAUUUGAGUUGGAACCGAUUGGAAAGUCCAGUCCCUUCAUUCCUUUCCAUAGCGAUAUCUCUAGAUAUCUCCAACAAUAAGCUUUCAGGGUUAAUUUCUUUCGUGUGUCCAAAGACUCCGAACAAGGUUAGUUGUUUAGCCUUUCUUGAUCUCUCAAGCAACAAUUUGUACGAACAACUUCCUAAUUGUUGGACACGUUUUGAAAAUCAUGCAUUUCUUGAUUUGAGUGAUAAUGCUCUUUUUGGAAAUAUACCCAAAUGCAUCAACAAUUUGGCUAAAAAAGGAAGUUCAAGUAUAACUGUCUAUCAUAUCUAUAAUAGCUCAAUUGUUGGACAAGGUUAUUUUGAGGAAGCAUCCUUGAUAUGGAAAAGCAAAAUGUCCAAAUACAAAAGUACUUUGGGGCUUGUAAAGAGUACUCAUAUGUCGAGUAACCGAUUAACGGGAGAGAUUCCUACGGAAAUCACUGAUCUUGUGGGGUUGGUUACCUUAAACCUAUCAAGAAACAAUUUAACAAGUCAAAUAACUCCAAUGAUCGGGAAAUUGGAGUCCUUACAGUCCCUUGAACUGUCAAGAAACCACAUAUAUGGCGGAAUACCAACAAGCCUUUUUCAAAUAUAUGAUCUUGGUGAUUUAGACUUGUCAAACAACAACCUGUCUUAAAAAAUUCUAAUGGGGACUCAGCUCCAAACCUAUGAUCCAUAUGAUUUUGUUGGAUAUCCUCUGCUUUGUGGAAUUCCACUUCAACAGUUAUGCUCUCCUGAGGAAUCAAGUCCAAAGGAGCAACCAAUGUUUAGGGAUCAAGUUAAAGAAAAUGAUGGGCUUAUACCACAGGGUUUUACUUGAGUUUGGUGCUUGGUUUUGUUAUUGGAUUUUGGGGAGUUUGUAGGACUUUGAUAUUCAUCAGGUCAUGGAGAUACACAUACAAGAAGUUCUUGAACUGUGUGUACGAUUGGCCUUAUGUGAGGGUGGCGUUGAUCAGGCGACGAGGAAUGAUUGAUGGGUAAACUAUAAGUACUCUUCCACAUAAUGAAUAAUAUUAUUACAGUUUUGAGUCUAUUAAUACGAUUGGCUAAGUGCACUUUUAUACAGAGAACUGCAGUAUAAUGAUAUGGCAUCAUUGCCAUCAUGGUUAAUAUCAUUUUGGUCUCUACAAUUGUCUUUAAAUUAUGACUAAUAUAUGUUGUGGGUUUUUUGAAUCUUUUUAGCUCGUGCAUCUACCAUUGGUAAGCAAUGCUCCCUUUAAACUGGAGAAGAAGGAGAUUGAAGAGUGCAAUUUGAAGUUAUAAUUUAGUGAAAGUGUUGUGUUUAAUUUAGUGGCCUUUUUGUUUUUGCAAUGACGUUACUUAGAUUAUCGUUGAGGGGUUAUAAAUUAGGUUCUUUUCAUCCUCCUUUACUAAGUGUACCAGUUGAUCCUUUUCAAUAAAUUUCUUUGAGAAACUUGCAAGAACUUACUAAUCAAUUAGUUACAGAGAGAACAAGCAGACAGAUAAUUCAAUAAAAGAUUGGAUACAUUAACAUUGAGAACAUCAUACAUUUAACAGAUAAUUCAAUCAAUAUAUCUCACAUCAUCAAUUGUUGAUUCUUUACAGUUCAAGUCUGAUCAGACCGCAUUAUCUUGACAACCGAGAAAAAACAAUUCGAAUUAUUAAAAUCUGAUUCGAGUAAGAGCUCACUACUGGUUUAAUUGACUAUCUCAUCAUUCAUUAAUUCUCAUUGCCACCUUCAGCCAACGUAAAAAAUGAGGGUUAUCGAGUGCACCAACUGGGCAAUUAGCAUGACAAACGUUGCAUGCAGCAUUGCAAUAACGUAAUGGAAACUUCAUUUUCGUACACAGCGCCCCCAAUAAUGCAUCGGUUCAGCUGCGCAAUGUUAGAAAAACAAAAUAAGGACCAUAUUUGUGGGUUCCAAUUCCAAAUCCAAUUGCCUUUAUAAAAACAACAUGAAAGUACAAACCAAAGACCCCAUUAAAUUUUUUCAGAUUCAUCAAAAACCCGAACAUAAAAGAACAAAGGUAUCGGAAGAGAACCAUGAGAUGAAAAAAAAAACACCUUUUCACCAAUUGAAUUAGAAGGUCCAGCUUCAGCAGCAGUCUCCAUCCCCAGUUGACCUAAACCAUGUAUCACUUCAAGUGCACUUGCAAAUCCCAUGAACACAGCAACUAGUAACCUUGCGAACAUAUAAGUUACUAAUUUCAAUACAAAAUUCGUUGUAUAAACACGAGAAGAAAAGCAAUGAAAUUUCAACAUAAUUAACAAAACACCAAAAACUCACCGAAAAACACAUGCAUGAGCUCUAAAAAGGUUUUAGAAAACAUGUUUUUGAGGCUAUUUACAGUGACCUUAUUCUUUAUGCCAACACCAAACUUUAAGUUCAUGUGGAAAUCUAUUUAUACGUCGAGUAGCACACAUCUGUAAAUAUUUUAUAUAGAUAGUGUGCAAAUUUUUUCUUUCAGUUUGUUGUAUGCUUAUGACGUGAUAAACAUAUUAAAAGUUUGCGAUUUAAUAUGAUUACUCACUCCCAAAUGUGAUUGUUAUUCUAUUAAUUCGCUAAAAUUUAAGGUUGUGUGUAUUGUUGUUUUUAAAACCUUUUGAUUAGUAAUACAAAAUUGAAUAUGAGCUCUUCCAUUUGGUAAUAUCUUAAACUGCUUAAAAUAUACAUCAUAAGCAACUAUGCUUACAAACUUCAGCACUGUUAGAAACAAUAGGCACUAAUCUACAAUGGUUUCUAAUCUUACUCAAAGCCUCAAAUGCACCCGUGUGUCACAUGAUUUGAAAUGUGCAAUUUAAUUAUGAUGUAUUUGAAUUGUUGUUUUCAAAUCUUGUGUCACACAAGUGUGAAUGUUUUAGAUUGAUGAAUUUUACUCAUCUAACGAGAUAUAAACUUGUUUCAUUCCAAGUGAGUAAUUAAGUAAAAAUAGUACUCAUGUGACCAGCAGGCAGCAAGGAUGUGAGACAUCUCAUAUGCAUGCAAUGGCUAUACUUACAAAACUAAACGAAAUGUCGUCGUCUGUUGGCUGUGUUAAGGCCAAAAGCGUGGUCGUUUUGAUCAGAACAUUUCCGGGGCAAAAAGCCAAGGAGAAAGAUUGAAAUUCUAAAGAGUGAGAGUAAAAGACUGGGGCGAUGUACAAGAAGAAGCCGCUAUGGGGCGAGGGAAUAACACCGAAGGCCUCGUCGGAAUCUGAACCAGACCGCCGUCCACCGCCGUCGGUUAUAUGCUAAAACCAAGUUAGCUAAAAUUCCUCAAGCGAGUCUAGAAACCCUCGCAUUAACAAUAAUCACACAAUAAACGAAUAGUCUCAAAUGAAUAAAACGCAAGGAACUGUUGUCGCUACAAGACCAAAGAUCAAUAAUAAUAUUCCAAUAGUAUUGUCUAAAUGACAGUGAUAUUCUUCAUUAACAACAAUUUAGCAUAAUUUCAAUGCAAAUAUGUUAAAGUCGGUCAAUUAUUGUGUGUCUUCUAAUCUAAUAACUCCAAGACUAAAUUUGUAAAGACCCCAGUCGCAGUGGAGUUAUUCGAAAUACGGAAAACUCUUGAGAACUUGCUUGAAGUAUCGCAUGGGGUCCAAGUCAAGACAAUACAUUUCUACUUGCAUCGUGUAAAUUUUGGUUUGCAGGUCCCCAUUGUUUUCAACUUGUAAUUUACUUUGAAACGUGAUUAAGGCAAAUGACAAACGAAAGUGGAGAAGAAUCAUCUAUGUUGUGGGAGUCAUUCAUCUUUCCUCUUAUUCUCCAAAACGACUUGUGACUGUUUGCAACUUGUCUAAAAAAUAAAUGUGAAUUUGUCUCUCAAGAGUUGAGGCGUUUUCCGUGUAUUUUAGUCUGGUCCAAAUAACGUGAAUUACACAUUCUGACUGUUUGCAACUUGUUUGGAAAAUAAAUGUAAAUUUGUUCUCUCAAGACGUUUUCUGCGUUUUUUAGCUUGAUCCAAAUAACGUGAAUUGCGUGCAUAUAUGUUGUUUUCUAAUUCCACAUAAAAAAAUAUAAUAAAAAAAAACCAAACAUACUUUUAGAACGUAAACAAAACGAAACAAUCAACGCGAAAUUGUGUUGUUUGUUGCAGGUUUUGUCAUUAUUUUGGAGACGAGUCAUCCUCUCAUUACUACACCUACCUACAAAAAAGUAGCUGGUCCACUCGCAGCUUUCCUUUUGAUCCUAAAUCAGUUCUUAUUAUAUAGUUUAUAAAUCAACUAACCUCUCCCAACGCACAUGAGACUUUUUUUUUAAUCACGUCUUUAAAAGUGUAUUGAUGCGCAUGCAAGAAACAUUUUUAUUAUCAUAGACACUACGUGCACCUAUAUCCCAAGUGCCGUUGAAACGACAUGUCAUUUGAAAUUGGCCGUACUUGUAAUUGCAUAGGAUCAUGAUUAUUGGCAUAAAAUUACUAUAACUCAAGUUCACUUCACAAUCACAAAUGAUCGUAAUUGCAUAGGAUCAUGAUCAUUUGGUAUUGGCAGUACUUGUAAUUGCAUAUGUAUGUUGAAACAACAUGUCAUUUGGUAUUUGCUGUUUUUUUUUAAUAAAAAAAACAAUAUUAUCUAUACUAAAAAAUAAAGGGUGGGCUUAGUCUAGCAAUAAUGUGGUUCAAAUUCGCUUUUGUCAAGAAUCGUACGUAAAACCUCUUACUUACAAGUGAAUAGGAAUACCACUAGACUGUACUAUUAAGUGACAAUAGUUGUUAAAAUGGAACAAUUUAACCAAAUAUUCAAAUAUGUUUUUCUAAUUGGCAAGAAUGGAAAUAGAAAACUUGGAAGCAAUUGUAAUUAACAAAAGGUUUGUGCAGAUGGAAUCUAACAGAAUUAGCUUUCUUACCACUGAUCAAUCCAAAAUAUUGUUAGGCAAAAGAGGAAGAAAAAUAAACGUAAAACCAAAAUGAAAUUAAAAUAUAAUGCAGAGCACCCAUCUCAACAUGUAAAGACAUGAUUGCCAAACCAGUUCACCUUCCAAAGCCAACCAAAAAAGAGAAGUAAAUUGUAUAUUCCACAUAUAUAUAUUAACAAUUUAGAGAGAGAAAUUACCAACCUGCAAACUGCAAACCACGUUCUGAUUCCUCCCCAUUCUUCAACAGAGCUGUCUCCAAAGGCCUCACCGUUAGCGGCUUAGCACUGCGAGUGAAAUAUUGUCAUCUGUUUGGUUGCUCAGGGCCUCACCGUUAGCGGCUCCAACUCCACAUCCAGGCACCGGUCAAAUUCGAACUCCCACCAUCUCAGUUACGCUUCUCUUCCUCUCUCUCUUCAAUCUCUUUCUCUCUCUACUCCCUAAACUCUUUCAUCUAUAAAAUUCUCAAAAUUCAACCUGCCUGAUGAAUUGAUUGAUGGUAAUUUUGAUUCAAUUUCAAACUUGUGAAGUUGCAGCUCCAAAAAGGGCAGCAACGCCUUGCCCUGCAACUCCAGCUCCAUCACCGACCACCUUCUUCAGCCUCCACCAACUUGUUAAUCAGGUUUGUGUUAAUCAGGUUUGAUAAAAUAAUGUUAAUCAAGAUUUUAUUAAUUUUUGGAUUAAAAUUUGGCACUUGGAGUGGAUUAUGGAGGUAAUUUUUGCUUCUUUGCUCAAUGUACUUCAAAGGCGUGUCGUCACUUUAGAAAGAUGAUCUGGUUUAGUGUUCUGGUCUUGAUCUUAAUGCAUCAUGCGUGUGCUGCUAUUGCCCCAACUUUUUGAACCUCAACUUGCUUAACUAGUAUGCAGUAAGUUUGGUCAUAGACUAAUGGAUUCACAAUUCAUCUCUUAUAUAUUGCAUAAGAAUAUCUGGGUCGCGUUUUCUGUGAGGUUUUAAACAAUCUAGCUUAUGUUUAUGUCAUGCGGAAUAUAUUUUUCUUAAUUGAAGCUUGCUGAAUGCUUGAUUGCGUUGUUGACUGCAGAAGUCGCCGUGUGACCCAUGCUUGACACACUGCUGCUUGCACUGGUGGCCCUUGUGCCAUGAGCACAUGGAGAUGAAGGGAUAAACCCCAAAGAUGUUGGGUUUAGUCACACUACAGUAUAGCACUGGUGAAUUGAAGGUAAGAUGCCUUAAAAAUAAGUUAUUUGAGUAUUAUAAAAUCAUACUUCUUCAGGUUUUUGUUAUAUGGAAACAUUACAUAUUUAUGGCAUCAACUUGUGUCCACCAGUGUUCUUUUUCUCAGCCGAGGAAAAUUGUUAGAAAUUGCAAAACUGUUGGGAUCUUUUGCUACCCUGUUUGAGUUCCCACAAAUGAAUCACAUUUUCUUGAAUCUUGCUCAUUGAGUGUUUGCAGCCAACCCUCUAAUUGUCAAUCUCUAUUUAUAUUCAAACUUGUACUUCUAUUCUUAAUACAUUCAAUUUAUCCUCAUAAACUAUUGCGGGAAUUAUAGUUCCCAGUGAUUGAUGUUGUGAAACAACUCUGCUGCUGUACUAGUUUUGUUUUCCUUCUCUUUUUUGUUUAUAAAGUUAACAAUUCUUAAAAAGAUACAACCCCUCGUUUAAAGCCACUACUGCUUCUCAAUGUCAAUCUUGUUUUUUCUAGCGGCCACAAUUGGUGAAAGGAAAUUUGCAACUGUUGUCCGUGGAUUAAAUUUUUAUUUUUAUUUUUUUUCUUGCUGCAGCUGCGGCUCCACUGUUAUUAACAGCCGUUAGCGGCGAUUGUUAGUCGCUGGGAGAAGGUGAAAUCUAUUGCUGAGCUACCUCAACUCUCUUCAGAACACAAGGCAGCCAGCAACCACUGAAAGCCAAUUGCCGUAUACACUCAAAAUGUUGCAGAGUGCAGGAAGUUAUGGAUUUUCUGAGUUCUGAAAGCGAAUUGAGAGUGCUGCAAAUCAGAAAUGAUGUUACACGAGGAUGUGUCUUCGGGGCCAAGGAAGCGAAGGACAACACAUUUUGUUGUGUAGUUAUUUUGUAAAGGCUGGUAGUAUUGCAUUCGUUUAUUCUUUUUCCUCAUUAUUGCAAUAAGAAGCCCAAGCUGAAGAGAAAUAACAGGUUGAGUGAUAUGAAUUAGGAUUUGUUGUUGUAGGUUCUUCUUGGUUGUGUCUCAUUUUUUGUCAUCCAUUUCAAAUGAGCCCAAAAAGAAGGGACAAGAAAUGGGAGUGUAAAGGAAAACUAGAACAAGAAAGAACACGUUCUAGUUUGGUUUUGUUGUUUCUUUGUUUUAGUUUGUAGUUAGAAGUUGAAAUCUGGUUAUAAGAAUUGUGAGUGUAAAGGAUAAGUGGCUUAAAUUCACCUGUUAUAUUUUUUUUGGAAUUGUUUCAUUGAUUUCUCAAAUUUUUCCUAAGAAUUGCUUAUAUUUAGCUUUGUACCUCGGUUCAGAAUUGCUUAGGUUUCUGCUACUUUGGUGUUGGAAUGAAGCAAAUAGCAUUUAAUAUUUUUUAUACAUCAUUGGUUUUUUUUUCUCUUCAUUAUCUUGCUUCUUAGUCUGACAUUGCACCAAACGCUUCACUAAAUCAGUCCAGCUUAGUCUAUUCUAAGCUAGUCCAGCUUAGUCUUAGAAGUUAGUCCAGUUCGAGAUAGUCUGGUGUAAUAAACAUACCCCAAAAGUAUUCAAGUGGGACAAACAUUACAUCAAUCACUUGAAUGAAAAGGAAUGAACUGAGUUUGAAUUACUUAAUUCUGAUGAAGAAAGUUUCUAUAAAAGGUAUAAAAAUAGUAAAGAAAAUGUCACUCCACUCAAUACAAAUUCAGUCAUAAAAAAAUUAUAAAUUAAACUCGUCAUUCGCGUGCCGAAUGUAUCACCAAAUAUCUUUUUAACUGAAUAGUUUUUUACUUCCAACUAGAAUUCUCCUUUUCAAUUGAAAUACGUAAGAUUGAGGUCCUACCAAGACUCGCAAGGCACCUGACAUUCUCGCUCCUUAAAAAAAAAUUGAAAUCGUUGAUUAAACCAACAUGGAGAACUCAAUCCACAGAUGACUCUUCCCUCCAUUAUCUCAUUAGACUGUUCUUUCCCAUUUUACCCCUCUUGUCAAGUCUCACUUUUAUUUACCAAUUGAGCUCCUCAUCUACUUUUUGUAGUAUAUGUAUAAUGUAUUUAGUAUUUGACGAGUUCCUUUCAAAUAGUUUUUUUUUUUUUUUUUUUUUUUUUUUUUUUUUUUCCAACCAUAUCAGAAUGACAGAAUGGGGUGGUGGAUUCUCGAAACUAGCUGUAGUGAAUGUUGAUACCAAAGUCUAAGCAUUGAGGUAAAACAUCACUUACAAAGCCACAACUUAUAUGAAAUGGGUUAAAAGUCACGCAGCGUCUUGAUCUAUGAAACGAAUGACAUGUGUUGAAAAAAAUUACUUGUCAUUCUUUUGUGGAAAGAGACGUCAUGAUGGUAAUGAACUCGUUCCAUGUAUUAGAGUACUAGAUUUUCAUCACCACAUACAUCAAUUUCCUCGUCACAAUCUUCAACAUUUGAGUUUAAAUCAGCAGUCCACAGAUGAGAUUGACCAAGCUUCUGCUUCAUUGCAAGUUUUCCCUUUCAGUUUCAGAAAGAGUUGUCAUUUUGGUUAAGUGAAUGACGAUAGGAACAUGACUGAGGGCAUUGAAGUUUAAAGCGGUAAAAUAGGAAAGAGAUGACCGAUGAGAUAAUGGAGGGAAAAGUCAUUCGUUGUUUGAGUUCUCCAUGUUGAUUUAAUAAACAAUUUCUAUAUAUUUUUUAUUUUUUUUUAUUUUUAAAGAAGUUGUUCCGAGCUAGAAUUGAUGAUGGGAUAAAAAUACCAAAUGCCUAGCGAGUCUUGUAAGCAAUUAUCAUAGCCUCAAACUCAUAAUUUGGAUCGUAAUCUUUGGAUUGAGGUCGGUGGUAGACUAAGAUAACUUAGUGGUUAACUCACUCAAUAAAUUGUUAAUUUUCUACGCCCCUCAUAUGAAGUCAUGAUAGAGAGCUCAGUGGUUGACUCCCCCAAUAAAUUGUUCAUUUUCUAUGCCCCAUAUAAAGUCAUGAUUGCUAUAUAUAUUUAGUCUUUGUAGUGUGUUGAUCUUUGGUCUUUGUAAAGUUAUUACUCUAGUUUUUCCAAGGAAUAUAAAGUAAGACACUCUCAAGUUUGAAAUACAUGCAAUAAUGCAUAACACCAUUCACUUUGUUUUUUCUUUAGUCUAUAACAAUAUUAGUUCACUCCGAUUCAGCACAUUACAGAUUCCGAACCUAUAUCAAAAGAACAAAAAACUAAGAUACAUGAAUUUUCUUUUCCUUUUUCCUACUUACAUAAAACCAGCAUGCAUAGUCUUGUUGCAUAGCCAACUGGGCAUACGCCUCUUUGUGGAUUGCAAGAUUUGAAAGAUUAAAUACAAUUAAAAUAAAAAAUCAACCAAAUCAAGGCAAAAAAAUAUGUAAUUUUGCGUCAAUAUUUCAACUAGUAAAAGUAUAGUCAAUACCUGGCCACUUGCAUUGAGCCAAGUCAAGCAGAUAUUGUGGGUUGGUUGGCCACUUUAACUUGCUUUUUCCAUGUCACUGUUUUAGCUACAAUUUGCUUCAACUAAUUGUGUACGUAUAUUCGAUGCAAGCUUGUUCGUGAAGUACUCAUACAUCCCCAUAUACUUGCACCUUCAUUGUGCUCCCAUCUUUUUUGAUAUUACAUUCCAUUAACAAACCCCAAAUAGUUGUGCUGCUUCUUGAUUAUUCAAUCGCCUCUACGUUGAUUUGAAUAUUAACAUGCACUUUUAUGCUUUGAUUGCGGUGCUAAUCUCAUUACAACAUUUCAACCCUUCUCUAUCCCUUGGAUUCGAUGAUAAAGUUUCUUCAGGAGAAGCACUUGGCCACGGUGAUGCUUCUGGCGGAGUGGUGAGGUGCAUAGAGAGGGAAAGGGAAGCACUCCUUGCUUUCAAACAAGGCCUCGUGGAUGAAUACAACCAACUCACUUCUUGGGGAUCUCCUUAUUGUUGCACAUGGGAAGGAGUUUUCUGCAGCAACCAAACCAAAGGUGAUCCUGUUAUCAAACUUGAUCUUCUACCAUAUGAUUUGCAAGGUAAGACGAUAAGCCCUAAACUGGUUGAGUUGCAGCAUUUGAAAUAAUUGAGCCUCUAUGGAAUUGACUUCAAUGGGAGCCAAUUUCCAGAUUUCAUUGGUUCCCUAUCCAAUUUAAGAUACCUCGAUCUCUCUGACGCUUCUUUUGGUGGUCGAAUUCCAAGUCAGCUUGGAAACCUUUCACACUUGCUACAACUCAAUCUUGCCUACAACCACUUUGCUACUAAUGUUGUGCAAAAUCUCAAUUCUUGGCUCCCUCGUCUUUCUUCAUUAACACAUUUGGAUUUGAGUUACAACAAUCUCAAUAGCACUUACGACUGGCUUGAAUCAAUUAAUAAGCUCCCUAAGCUAAGGGACUUUUCAUUAAGGGAUUGUUCUCUUCAUUCUCCUCCAAUGCCUUCCACUCUCUUUACCAUAAAUUCUUCUAAAUAUCUUGCUCAUGCUGAUUUCAGUUUGAACCGUCUCACAUCUUCUUCAAUAUUCGUAUGGUUGUCAGCCUACAGUACAAGCCUUAUUUAUCUUGACCUCAUUGGCAACAAUUUAACUGGUCUAAUUCCUGGUGUUAUUGGAAACAUGACCUCGCUUUCCUAUCUUGAUCUCUCUUUUAACCAAAUUGAAGGAUGGAAUCCGCAUUCUUUUGCUAGGUUAUGUAGUUUGCGAUCGUUGGUCCUCAGGAGCAACAGAAUGAGUGGACAAUUUUCCCAGUGGGUUCAAAUAUUAUUAUUAAUGUCUGCAUGCGCUCAAAACUCAUUAAAGUUUCUGGACCUCUCUUACAAUCAUCUUGUCGGGCCAUUUCCUAAUCUUAUAAAGUUUUUGUCGUUGAAAGAUUUAGAUCUCUCUGGCAAUCAAGUAAGUGGAAUAAUUCCUGAAACUAUUGGGAAAAUGUCUAAGCUCGAGAGUAUCGACCUUAGUACGAAUCAUUUGGAAGGGGUGAUUUCCGAAAGCCAUUUCUCACGACUUGCCAGAUUGAAAUAUUUGGAUUUGUCCUUUAACUCUCUAGAUUUAAACUUCCAUUCGGAUUGGAUUCCUCCUUUCCAAUUGGAUUAUAUAAUACUAGGUUCUUGCAAGGUAAGUCCAAAUUUUCCACAAUGGCUUCAAACUCAGAACUUUUAUUCUAGACUUGAUAUUUCAAAUGCUGGAAUUUUCGAUAUCCUUCCAAGUUGGGUUUGGGGAGGAAUGUCUCCUAAUUUGGCCUUCAUGAAUCUCUCACACAAUCAAAUUGGAGGACCAAUACUUGCAAAUUUGACAUUGGAGUUUGCAUAUUACCCUCAAUUACAUUUGAUUUCCAACAAAUUGGAAGGUCCAAUCCCUCAUUUCUAUCACAAGCGUCAUUCCUCGAUCUCUCAAAUAAUAAUUUUUCCGGGCCGAUUACUUGGUUGCGUGCACCUACCGCAUCAAGUUUAACCUUAAUCUUUCAAGUAACAAUCUCUAUGGACAACUUCCGAUUUCUUGACAUAUUUGGACAAUUUGGUCAUGCUCGAUUUGAGUUACAAUGCUCUUUCUGGAAAAAUUCCUGCCACAAUAGGCUCCUUAUUUCGGAUGGAAACGCUGAAGUUAAGAAGCAACAGGUUUUUGGGAGAAUGGCCUUGCUCCACUUGCCAAGUUUAUCAACGACAAAAGGACCGAAGAGGUAGAUGUGCCUCUUCCUUCAACAUCAUUCCUAGCAGCACUGGAGCCACCAAGGCCAUUGGAAAGUCAGGUUUGAGAAAGCUACAACAUAUGAACAGAUCAAGGCUGCACUUUACAACCAUUCAUACAAGUUUCUCAAUGGCUUUCCAAACCAUGCAUUAUUCCCAUUUGUUACAAGAGAAAACAUGACUUGGUGGCAAGGCUUUUUCCAGGUGAUCUUCAUGCUCAAUGUCUCUUAUGAUUAUUAUAUGCUCAAUCUUCUAGGAGAGCCUAUGAGAGUUGUAAAUUUCACAAACUUUGCUCAAAUUUGUAAAACUUGGGAGGCUUCUGUUUGCACCUAAUAUGUGCACCAUUUCACUUAUUUAGAUCAUUUGGGUAAAAUAUGACAUUUGAAGGAUUAAUGUGCAAGAAGGCUAACUUGGAAGAUAUUUAGCUAUCAAGUGGGAUAGUUUGGCAUUAAAAUAAUGUUUUUCCCUUUUUAUGUGGGUGGUGGAGGUUUGCCAAGAACUUUAUUUAAUCAAAACAAAUGUUUGCUUAUGGAUUGGAAGAUAACAUGCAGACAUGGACGUGGACAUAUGGAUGAAACAAGCCACCUUGCUUCUUUUAAAUGUUAGUUUAUUGCAAGUGGUGGAGACAUGUGGCGAAAACAUGUAGUAGAGAUACAAACUUGCUUAUUUUAAUAUUAUUUCAUAAUGCAAGCUGUAAAGGAGUUUCUUUCGGGCAAGUUCAAUAUUCUCAGCAAGGGCUCUUUCAGAUCUCUAUAUAAAGAAGCAGAGACAGAAAGAUUAAGGACACUCAAACAACCAAGCAAUCAACUCUACUCAAAUUAGCUCAUCAGCUUCCUUGUAGACAUUUAGCUUUAGCCAAGCAUCCAUUGCUUUCCUUGUUUAUUAGCUCUGCUGCUCACUAGUAGUAUCAAUCUCAUUUGUAGUUUAUAUACAACUCUUUUUCAGUCAUUUAAAUUAUAAGUGUUGGUACCAUAUAUUGGGCCUUGUCUUUGGGCCUCACCCCUAAGCCCAUGACAAAUGUAAAAGGGGAGGGAGCCCUUAUUCUAUAAAAUAGACUCGCCCUCACCCUCAUUGGGGAGGCCUCACAUCCAGAAAGAAACAAAGGGUCUCAGAUCCACCCCUCACAACAAUGGAGGGCAAUACCCUCUCAGCCAAACAGAGAGCAAAAUGGCAAAGGUUGCAUCCACGGAGAGCUCCUUUGCCAAUCUAUUGUAAUCCAUACAGUAAAUGGAAUCAACAUCAGUGUGGACGUAGCCCAAACAUUGGGGUGAACCAUGAUACAUCUUUGUGUUCUUGAGCGUUUGUGUAAUUCACGACCGGAUUUACGUUGGUCCAAGAUCCUCCGGAUUUUGUGCAUCAACAUUUGGCGCCGUCUGUGGGGAACGACACGAAAAGCUAUGUCGGUUAUCUUUCAUUUUUUUUAUCAAACCUCCACCGUGAAUCUGCACAACCCAAGAACCCAGAACCUCCCUCCUUGGGCUUUUUUCAGAAAACAUUCACUAAACUCCUAAACUCAACCACAGUUUCUUCUCCCCCUCUUUCUACCCCUUCGUUAAGUCUCUGAAGCAUUCGCUUCUUUGCGUGCUGCAGAGAACCUCCUGCUUCACUCACCUUCCCCGCUUCAAUCCCCACCGCAUCGCAUCGGGAUUAUCAGGUGCUCCCAUGGCUUCCACAUAGAAGGAUGCGCAUGUUGCUGCUACAAAAACCCUCGGACCCACAGAGAGAUGAGAGUAGAUCACAAUCGGAGAAUGGCUACCGCUCAAGCGACGCCCGACGGCGGCGGGCGCCAAGUAUUGGAGUCUAUGUACUCGAUGAUUGUGUUUGCAUCUCGAGCUCAUCUUUGUCUCUCCUCUAGAUUUCUAUUUCACCAUAGAGUUCGGCAAUCUAUUUAUUGAGCAUGUGUGUUUUCUUGGCAUUGUUGUGCUCCUGAACAAGAUCCUCCAGCUCUAAUUGCUCCUCAUCCUCACUUGUCCCACCUUUAAAGAUGGUUGCCUUCAACCCGGCAGCAUCCCCGCAGGAUUCUGGCCUGCUGGAAAGAUUGGCUAUUUCACUAUUUUUCUGCUCCAAAAUUUCUUCCAGGUCUCGUACUGCAAGAAUUAAAUCAGAAUUUGAUUCUUGCGUCUUCUGGAGCUGUAAACGGAGAUUGAAAUUCAGACUUUAGUUUCUCACAUUCCGCCUUGAAAGAAUCUCGUUCGCCUGCGUUGAGCUCUGCGACGCCGCCACCGUCGUCGACGUGUAUCGGCUGAUCCAGUACGACAUCUCUGGUGCUCCUUUCGGAUCUCGGCUCGCCAACCUCAACCACCAUGCUGGCUCUUUGAACUUCGCUUCUGACUCUGAUCUCUCCCGCACUGUCCUCAUCAUCCCUUUACACGAACUCAACAUCUCCUUCGUCACUGAAUACAAUACCCAGAAGCAGCCUCUGGGAGGUUUGCUGUUUUUGCUGUGGAUUUCAGCCAAGGUUGCAAGAUAGCCAACUGUGAAAUCCCGUUCCUGGAUUUCAUUAUUAUAAUCUACGUAUUGGUAUUACAGAGAUUUCAUAUUAUUUUUUUUGGGAAAUUAAUUAUUUAAAAUCCGUAGACCAUUCGAGGUCACAAUUUACAUUGUUGAAUAGAUUUCGAGACUACGAACGCAUAGGCAAAAACCGUUUGCGAGUUCGGAUUAUAACGGUACAAUUGCGGACAUCUGAAGUUGUGUUUCAAAACUAUAGAUUUUAAUUUUCUUUAAAACUCCCCGUGGGAAUGAUGACCCAAAAAAAAAAAAAGGGGAGGACCAACCCAAUUAUGUAUGGGAGAGUUAAGGGAGCCAAUUAGAAGGGAGGAAGGGAGCUAAUGAAAAGGAGAAGGGGAGGGCGUCGGAUUGGGCAGCGAGAAAGAGGAAAGAAUAGAGUGCAGGAGGGAAAGGAGGAAAAUGGGAGGACGAAUCAGGAAGAAGGAUAGGGAGGGAAAUGAGGGAGUGAGAAGACACACAAUCAACCCCCUCUUCCCUUGACCCAUUUCCAAACCGUGACCCGUUUUUAGAAUUUGGAAAACCGUGUGUUUUUCUGACGGUUUUAAGUCAUUUUUCAGGUGAAUUUAGGACCCCUCAUCACCACUAAACAUCAUCACAACCUUCCAUCGUUCCAUUCUAGCCAAAAUAGACAAGAAUUGGUUGAGAUUUCACGAAGAUUGAAAGUGUGGGUGUCGCGACCCCCUUGUUCGAAAUCCACCAAAUCUGAAACGAUUUGGAUCAAAUAGCAGCACCCCUAGACUUAUCUUGAGGUCUGGAGCAAGGCCCAAACAAUUUUAGGGGCGGCGGUGCACCGGAGGUGACGAAUCGAGAACACCAAUUUCUAGGGUUUCCAGCGAGUUUGAGGGAAAUUGGAGCUUUUCCCGGCCAAAUUGGACUUGGCCACAUGUAUAAAACUUGCUCUACUCAUUGAGAUCUUCAUUUCUGUAAAUUUUGGUAAUUUUUAAAAAUAGUUGAAUUUUCCGGCAAGUCGGGGCGGCGCGUGUGGCGGAGGCCUGGCUAGUGGGCUGACGAUGUUCUUUUAAGUUCAAAUAGAUGCCUUUAUUUCAUAAUUAAUAUCCGUAUGACGUAAUUUGAUUGUUUGGACUUAGUUUCAUUACGAUACCUUAGUUGGUCAAAAUAUGAAUCAACGAUCCGACCGUUGGAUCGUCACCAAACCGUAAUGUGUGAUAGAGCAUAAUAUUUGUGGGUCAUAGAAACUUACGGAUCGGGAGUCCGACAUAUGGAUCUUCCCUAAUGUUGUAAAAUUAAUCGUUAACCGUCACCUAAGUCUAGCAAUUGGCGGAGAUCCGACCGUUGGAUCGCGAUGAGAAUUUAGUAUAUGGUUCUAUGAUCAUAAUGUGGACUUUGGGAGGUUAUGGAUCGGAAAUCCGAUAUACGGAUCUUCCGGAUCGAAUUUGCAGGGUCGUGGACCUUACCAUUACCCGAGAGUUGACUUUUGGUCAAUAUGUCUCGAAAUGUUUUAAAUACUAAAUCUAGUACCACGGGAUACGAAGUUAAGUCUAACGGGGUCACAUUGGUUAGAGAGUGACUGGAAUAUAUGUGAUGUAAUUACUACCUUAAUUUCUUAUAUUAAUAUCAUUUGUGAAUAUGAUUUGGGUUAUAAAUGACAUUUAUAUUGAAAUGUGAAUUAUAUAUAUAUAUAUGCCAUAGACCUAUGUUUAUUAAAUGUAAAUUCUAUUGAAGUGUUUUCUAACCAUUGAUCUAUUUUCAUUAAGUAUGAUUUAACUUGUGCAUUGGAAAUAUGGUUUGUAUUGUAUAAUUGGAUUGAUGUAAUAAAAUGCGAGGGCUAAUAGUGGACCGUUAACCCAUUGUCAUGGGGUUUGUUGCUUCGAAACAUGUUUCACCCCUCGUGUCAUUAUUUCAUUCUCGUUUCGUUGAGUCUUUGUAACUUGAGUAACUUGAUUCAUGUCUUGGUUCAUUGAGUGGUGUUAUACAUUAUACUCCGCGAUUCUGUUGAGUGAUGGUCCGGAAUCAUGUCCUGGUUUGGAUUUCGUUGAGUGAUGGUCUGGAAUCCCUUCUACUCCGCGAUUAUGUUGAGUGAUGGUCCGAAAUCGUGUCCUGGUUUGGAUUCCGUUGAGUGAUGGUCCGGAAUCCCUUCUACUCCGUGAUUAUGUUGAGUGAUGGUCUGGAAUCGUAUCCUGGUUUGGAUUCCGUUGAGUGAUGGUCUGGAAUCCCUUCUACUUCGCGAUUCCAUUGAGUGAUGGUCCGGAAUCGUACCCUGGGUUGGAUUUCGUUGAGUGAUGGUUCGAAAUCCCCUUUGUUGUCUUGGCUCCGUUGUGUAGUUAGAAAUCUCGUUCUUUUGAGAUGUAGGCUUCAACCAAACUGUGUCGCUCUAACCCUGCAUUUCGAUGAGUGGUAUGUGAUAUUGAUGAUGCGAUGGUUGGCAUUAUUGUUCGAUGUGAUUAUGGAAUGAUGUUGGCUAUGGUUAUUGUAAUUAUGAUUAGACUCGUUUACUAUUGUGACUAGUGAAUAUGAUUGUGCUCCGUCAUUUGUUCUUUGUAAUAUUGUUUGAUGCAUUGUGAUAUAUUGUUGAGACAUAACGUUCUAUGUGAUGAAUAUUCGAUUGUAGUGAAAUGACGAACUACGAAUGGCUUGAUCCCUGUUGAGGGUACGUAGGCAGUCUAACGAGGAAGUUAGAUGCAGCCAUAAAGUAUAUGCAAAAUUAUUAUGCAUCUGGAUCUUGAAUUAUAUUUUGUACAUAUCAAAAAGGCGGGGUACGUUGAGUUAUGUGCAUUUAGUGAACUCACGUGUCGAUCUUUGAUGUAUGUUGGGAUCGGGGCGUGACACCAAAUUUCUACUCAAAUGGGGCUUCAAAACUGUCGCCUUUGAUAUCAGAUACGUCGAUAGAUUCGCAGCAAUGCCUUCAAGCUUCACGGUGUAGUUGCUGACUCAAAAGGUCCCUUCCAAUUCAUCUGCAGAAUCGGAUUUCGUUUGCGUUGUUCUUCUGCAGGAACAUUGUUCUUGCAUCAAGAUCCAUUUACCAAGUAUAUGGAACUAUGUUAAGAUUUGUAAGGGGAGCUCUCAUCUCAGGCUCUACCCUCAUCCCCGGCUCUACCGGCACCCAGGACAGGAUGAAUGCACCAAUUUCAUGAUGGCAAGCCCAGGCAUCUACCUGGUGUAGUAAAGUCUACUAAUCGAAUUCAUACAGCUCGAAUUACUGCAAUUCAGCCCAACAAUCGCUUCGUGUUCAGAAAUGUCAGCCUAGAAGCAAUCAGAGGAAACCAUAACCUUCAACCAGACCGACAAUAGAGAGGAAGAAUAUAAGCUUUCUCAUAACAAUUCUAUUAUUAUUCCCUGCCAUUUGCUAAAAGAAAAAAAGAAAAGAGCUUUACUUUUGUUUUGUCUGCCAUCUGCCAAAAGAAAAAAAAAGAGCUUUACUUUUUACAUCAUUAUGUUUUCUUAAAUUAUUUAUUUAUUAUUUUAUUAUUUUGUGAUAUUUAUCACAUGAUCACUAUCAACAACGUGGCAAAGCACAUCACGCAAAGUUUUAUUUUUAAAGUUGUGGUGAUGUAUCACUGGCUCCUGCACACUGCACAAUACAGAUAUGUAUGUUUAAAUAUUUUAUUAUAAUGUUAAUAGUCUUUCGGCACAUCACUAUUCCUAUGCCAUGUGACAUAAUCAGACAUCACAUCCUUUCAUUUUGUGGUAUUCACCUCAUAAUUAUCACACAUAUUUACAUAAACAAUAUUUAUUCAUGGCCUAGAAUAUUGUGACUGCCAUUAAACUAUGUCACUUAUACAACAUGUGAUUUACCACACGACUGAAUAAAUUAUUUAUUUAUAGAAGGCACAUAGUACAAUAUUUUGCCUUGACAAACUUUGUCAAUUUGAUUUAUUCAGUAUACGGUCAUACUUAUACUGUCAUUUAUUGUUAUGAAUUAUUGAGCAACUAGAUCCACUGAUCAACAUUAUUGCUGAUUAAAGAAGCCUACCGACACUAUUGAUCAGCCUAUGAAUCACUGAGCCACAUGCUUAUAGUGACAAAUAUUUAGUCCGAACAAUGAUCUCUUGUCUAAUCCGACAAGCGGACUCUCCCUCACCCUCAUAACAAGGUCUCACCUUCACUAAGAGAUCCAAAGAGUCUCAUAUUCAUCCUUCACAACAAUAGAGGGCAAUACCCUCUCAGCCAAACAGAGAGUAAAAUGGCAAGGGCUGCAUCCACAUAGAGCUCCAUUGCCAAUCUAUUGUAAUCCAUACAUUCAUACAGUAAAUGGAAUCAACAUCAGUGUGGACGUAGCCCAAACAUUGGGGUGAACCACGAUACAUCUUUGUGUUCUUGAGCGUUUGUGUGAUUCACCGCCGGAUUUACGUUGGUCCAAGAUGAGUACUGGUUCAAGACAUCUAGUCACUUCGACCUGUACAUGGAUUGGAUUUGAAGUCUCCAGCCAAAAGACUCUCUUGCCUGAAGACUUGGGGGACUCCUGUUGGUACCAUAUAUUGGGCCUCACCCCUAAGCCCAUGACAAAUGCAAAAGGGGAGGGAGCCCUUAUUCUAUAAAAGGGACUCUCCCUCACCCUCAUUGGGGAAGCCUCACAUCCAGAGAGAAACAAAGGGUCUCAGAUCCAUCCCUCACAACAAUGGAGGGGAAUACCCUCUCAACCAAACAGAGAGCAAAAUGGCAAGGGCUGCAUCCACAGAGAGCUCAUUUGCCGAUCUAUUGUAAUCCAUACAUUCAUACAGUAAAUGGAAUCAACAUCAGUGUGGACGUAGCCCAAACAUUGGGGUGAACCACGAUACAUCUUUGUGUUCUUGAGCGUUUGUGUGAUUCACGGCCGGAUUUACGUUGGUUCAAGAUCCUCCGAAUUUUGUGCAUCAACAAUAAACAAUCUACAAUACCAGUAAUUUAUUUUCCUCUGUCAUUCACACUUCCAGUGACCUUGUGAUUUAGUUGUUCUUACAUUUCUCCAUAUAAGUAAAGUCCUUAUCCUUAAGGCAAAGAAAGAACCUUAAUUUGAGCCACUCCCACUCAAUCGCACAAUCUCUUGGUUUGAAGUCGAAUUCAGGUGCAGCCUCAAUCAUUCAAAACCCGUUUACUAGCGGCAUCUAGUAGUGGCACGCCCGCACCCACCAAUUUCAUGUUUGAGUAAAUUCCCAGCAUGCCCGCGAGACUCAUGUCGAAUUUAGGGAGCAAACAGUAUCUAAAUAUUUUAAUUUAAAAUGUUAAUUUUGAAUUUAUGAAAUAAUUGUUAGGUUCUAUGCGGCGGAUGUGAGGGCGGAGAGUUUCGAGGUGUUUGACUAGUGCAAGUGGAAGGUGGUGGUGACGGCGAAUCCGACAGUGAUGGUGGAGCCGUUCGUGAAGGAUUUUCUGGGCGGGGACAAGGUGCUGGGGACGGAGAUCGAAGUGAAUACAAAGACGAAGAAGGCGACCGGGUUUGUGAAGAAGCCCGGGGUUUUGGUGGGGAAAUUGAAGCGUUUGGCGGUUCUCUCGGGAUCGGCGAUCGGAGCUCCGAUCAUGACUACAUGUCACUUUGCAAGGUUGGAUACUUCACAAAUUUAUCUAAUUAUUUGAUACUUUUGUUGUUAAUUUUGUUGUAGUAAAUUUCAUGCGACCCAUAAUCUUAACAAUCCCAACAACCAGCCAGCUAAAAUAUUGAUCCCUGUGUGGUCUAUUCAAGAAAACCUAAUUAGAAAUAAAGGAAAAAAAAGGAAAAUAAUUAAGGCAGUUGUUGUUCCAAUUAAAUUGGAGUAAACAAUCAUAACAUACUUUGUACAAUUGUUACUUUUCUAGUACACCACAACUAUAUAUAUAUAUAGCGUUUUAAUAAAAUUAUAAGUAAAAUAUAUAGGUAAUUGUUUUAUGAAAUGAAGUAAUUGACACAGUAAUAAAAAAAAAUUAUGAAAUCAUGUGAAUAACAACUUCUAACACAUUCAUUACAUGAAAAAUGUCGAAUUUUGACUUUUGUAUAAUAUUUAACAGUUAAAAGCCUCAAAGGGGAUACUCCGAAAUAUCAAAUAAAUCCUGUGAAUAACAAUUUCUAACACAUUACACAUUCAUGACAUGAAAAAUGUCAGAUUUUGAUUUUUGUAUAAUAUUUAACUGUUAAAAGACUCAAUGUAUUUGAUACUCCGAAAUAUCGAAUAGAUCAUGUGUAACAACUUCUAACACGUUACGCAUUCAUAACAUGAAAAAUGUCGGAUUUUGAUUUUUGUAUAAUAUGUAACUGUUAAAAGACUCAAAGUAUCCGAUACUCUGAAAUAUCGAAUAGAUCAUGUGCAACAACUUCUAACACGUUACGCAUUCAUAACAUGAAAAUGUCGGAUUUUGAUUUUUCUAUAAUAUUUAAUGGUUAAAAGACUCAAAGUAUCCGAUACUCCGGAAUAUCGAAUAGAUCAUGUGUAACAACUUCUAACACGUUACGCAUUCAUAACAUGAAAAAUGUUAGAUUUUAUUUUUUGUAUAAUAUUUAACGGUUAAAAGACUCAAAGUAUCAAAUACGACGGAAUAUCAAAUAAAUCCUGUGAAAAACUUCUAACAUAUUAUACGUUCAUGACAUGAAAAAAUUCGUAAAGUGAACGGCAUUGUUUAUAUUUCAUAUGCUAUACAUAUGAGUAUCAUUGUUAUUUUAUAUCUUCUGGUAAACUUCAAAUUCUCGUUUUCUAUGGAGUUAUGUCGGUACAUUUUUUGUCACUAUAUGUUUGUGGUAAUUAAUAUUGAGCAGAAGGCUACAUGGUGCCGCCUAGCAAAUCAGCCCGUCCAAUUUCAAAGAACCGUCUCAAAAACCAAAUAAAUUAGUAUUGAUAUUUGUGGAGAGUAGUUUAGGUAGUAAAUUUGAGUUUAAAGAGAUAUUGAUAGUUUAAUUAAAAAUGAUAUGAGUGUAGAGGUAAGUUAUAUGAGUUCAAAUAAAAUUUUCCUAAUAAAUUGGUAUUGAAUUCACCAUUCACGAGCUUUAAAUGUAAGGCAUUCAUUUAUAAGUGAAGAUAAAACAAAACUACAUCGUAGUACUAAGUGUCGUGUGAAAUUAAUCAUAAAUUAAAAUCUAAAUUGCUGAAUUAAUCAAAAUUAAGUAUUGAUAUUGACUACAUAAUGAUCAAAGAUUGACAACAAUACAAUCAAAUAUUGAAGACAUAUACAAAAUUGGCCGUUUUAGUAACUAAAAUUUGAAAAAUAAUCAUUUUAGUCAAUUUCUCAAAUAACUUGACAUUUAAAAACAUAAGGAAAAAAUAGAGAAAAUAAUGAAACAUGAGUAAUGAUAUGAAUGUAGUUUGUUUGUUUGGUUGUUUAUACUCCAUUUCAUCCAUGUAACUUCACUUCAAAUUCAUAAACAAUGUAGUUUCUUCAACUUACGACGUUGUUAAAACGAGAAGAACUAGGAAUAAGAAUUAUUCGGCCCAUCCUUGUCUAUCAUUUUUGGACGAGGAAAUAUUGGAUGUCAUUGAAUAUAAGGCAUAAUCUUUAAAUGAUCUCUCAAAAUUUAAUUUACAUUUCAUUCCAGCGUAACUGCAAUGCUUAAACUAAUGAAAAUAGCUUGAAAAUUAUAAGUUUUAAACUACAACCAAUGCUUAAACUAAUGAAAAUAACUUGAAAAUUUUAAGUUUUAAACUACAACCAAAUGAAACGUGUAAAAAUAAACCGAAACGUCGUCGUCUGUUGGCUAGAGUACCAAAAUGUCGUCGUUGUGAGAGUAAACGACUGAGGCGAUGUACUUGAAGAAGUCGCUAUGGAGUGAGGGGAUAACGCCGAAGCCCUCGUCGGAAUACGAACCAGAGCCGCCGUCCACCGCCGUAGGCGAUCUGGUCAACUCGUUGACCCGGCAGAGAGUGUACCGCGAGGUCGUGCUCGCGCUCCGGAGCGGCCUCCGCGAUGUUCGCGCCGAGUUCUCCUUCCUCCGUGUCCGCGGCCUCCUCAAGUUCCUCCGAUCGGUCGCCGAGUCCGAUUCCACCAUCAACCUCUUCUCUCAGACACAAUCGCUUCCUGAGCUUCAAGGUAAUCAGAAAAUUACAAAAUUCCUAGUUUCUACUUAAUCUUUUGUUUAAUUUUUCUGAUUGUUGAAGUUGAUUUAAUUAUCGUUUUACAGUCGUGCCGGUUCUGUUUCGGCACUCGCUGAACGAUUCGGACGAUGAGAUCGUACGGAAUUUGGAUCACAUAUUCGGCGUCGAGCCGCUGAAGAUCACAAGCCCUUCAACCGAUUCCGAGGUUUCGCUUGCGCUUAGGGUUUUGGAGGGUUGCUGCCUGCUCAUCCGGACAGCGCGGUUUUGGCUCAUCAGCACUAAAUAGCUUAACCAAAAUCUAUGGAGGUUGGAUUACUGAGAUGAGAAUGCAGUUUUUUGUAAUUGGGUUUUUGUAGGUUUUGAUGAAUAUAUUACCGACUUGCGGCGUGAUUGAGCAAGGAGCUUGUUUGGAUGCUUUGAUUGCUAUUAUGUUGGAUUCAUCAGCUAAUCAAAUGGUAAAGCUUCAAACUUCAGUUUCGAGUCAAAUUUAUGGAGUUUAAUUUUUGUAGAGAUUUUAUAUAAAGUUUGAUUCAAUUUCCUCGAAAUCUCAUGGAAUACGUGAGAUAUGUGGAUGCUUAAAAUACACUACGAAAUCUUUCCAAUUCCCUUGAAUUCUUCAACUUUUUAAAAUUCUUUAAAAUCAAUUUCUAAUUGAAUACACCUAAAAUGUUAUAAACUUCUUUAAAAUUUUAAUUGAAUACACUCGGAUUUCUAAGCAUUUCAAUAAACUAUCUCAGAAUCUUGAUUGAAUACACUUCGAAUUUCAGAAGAUAACUUAGAAUCCUGAUUGAUGAUUGAAUACCCCUAGAUUUUUUUAAAGAAUUAAAAUCCCACAAAAUCCCAAUUGAAUACACCCCUUAUUGUGAUUGGUUUCGGAGCGGUGAUGGGUUUUUUUAUGAUUCGAUUGUUUUCUUGUGUGUAAUGUGUAGGAUUUUGAGGCUUUUCAUGGUAUUGAGGAAGUUGCAGGGCUCAAAAGGGACAAACAAGUUGAUGAGAAUCUCAGGUUUUGAUUUAUUUCUCUUUGCUUGCUUGAUUCUCGUUGUCAUGAGUUGUGAUUUAAAGCUCUAUCUGGAUAAAUUCUGGGGUAAAUGUUAAAGUUUUGGCAAAAAUAGGUUUGUUCAUCAGACAAUUCUUAAUAGAAUCUCGUCUUUCCUUUUUUUUCUAGGUUUUUAGUUAAGCUAUGUCCUGUUGCUCAUUUUCAUGUUUGUCAAUUGAGUAACGAGGUCAUCUGCUAGGAAUUAAUUAGAUUUGAGGAUUCUGAACACUGGUGUGCCUAGGCUUGGUCCUUUCUUUGCUAAUAUAAUGCACACUGAAGAAAAACACUGUUGCUUUUGUUUAGGUUGAAGUGGAGAGUUCUUGCUGCUUUUGAUUGGUCAUGUAAAUGGGAGGGAUAGGCCACCGUUGGCAACCGUACAUGAGGACAUAAGACAUUUUUGGGUGAGAAAUCUGCUUCCUUGAUAUGGCCAGCGAGUCAGUUUGGUUCGACCCUUGAUCCGGAGCAGAGACUAACUGCUCAUCACAUCCAAGCUCGUCGUGUGAUAGUGUCCUUAGAUUUGUACUGAAUCUGAACAUAGAAAGCACCCUAGGCAUUUUGUUUUGUUUUUCUUUGUAUUUCAGUGAAAUACAAUCAGUAAUUUGUAAGAAAAUGGUCGUCUUCAAUGAAAUGUUUGCCUUGACAUUUUGUGCAGUAUAAUUUCAAAAUCAUACAACAUUCUACGGAGUGCCAUCACGGUAGCUAAAAUUCCUCAUGCGAGUCUGUGCCGACAUUCACCUCUCCCAGACCCUGCGUAAAGCGGGAGCCUUGUGCACUGGGUACGACCUUUAUACAACAUUCUACGGAGUGCCGUCACGGUAGCUAAAAUUCCUCAUGCGAGUCUGGAAGCCCUCGCAUUAACAAUAAACGAACAGUCACAAGUGAAUAAAACGCAAGGAACUGUUGUCGCUAAAAGUAAAAGACCCAAAAUCAAUAAUAAUAUGAGAGUGUUCAUGAAAAGAGCUUGGGUUAAAUUUAAUUUAAUAAAAAAAUCAUGCUAUAAUUUUAUUUAAUGAAAAAAACUUAAAUUUUAAUGAAAAACCCUUAACUUUUAAUAAAGAGGACAAAAGAACUUAAAUUUUAAUAAAAAUGACAGAAUUUUAAUAUUUAAAAAAAAAACUUGACGUGCCUAGGUGUGCGCGUCCAUCAUAGACAUUAUUUAUGAAAUAAUACUACACUGUUUAUGAAACUUAACAGUACUAUACUAUUUAUGAAACUGCAGUGCUAUACUAUUUAUAAAACUAAACGGUAUUACACUAUUUAUUAUCCAGAUUCAUAAAUAGUAUCUAGUUCUUGGUUCACUUUUGUAAAUAGUGUUUAGUUAUUGGAUCCUAUUUCAUAAAUAGUUUAUAGUAAUUGGUACAGUUUCUAAAUAGUGUCUCAUUUUUUAUCUGGUUUCAUAAAUAGUUUCUCAUUUUUUAUCCAAUUUCAUAAAUAGUGUCUAAUUCUUGGUCCACUUUCAUAUAUAAUGUCUAGUUCUGGAUCAUGUUUCAUAAUUAGUGUCUAGUUUUUAGUCUAGUUUCAUAAAUAGUGUAUAGUAAUUGAUACAAUUUCAUAAAUAGUGUCUCUUUCUUGGUCUUGUUUCAUAAAUAAUGUCUUUUUCUUGGUCCAGUGUUUUAUAUUGAACUCUUUCAAUUAUUUAUAUUUUCUAAUUAAACAAAGAACCAAUUAGAAUUGGAGGUAAUUGAAAAUUCAUAUGGUUCACAACUCAAAGUCUUUUGUUGGAGUUCCUUAUGUUAUGUUAAUGAACUCCACAAGUUCUCUCUAAGAAUGCUUUUAAGUUGGUCAAUUAUUGUGUGUCUUCAAAUCUAAUAACUCCAAGACUAAAUUUGUAAAGACCCCAGUGGCGAUGGAAUUAUUCGAAAUACCAGAAACUCUUGAGACCUUGCUGUCAAUAACCUUGAAGUAUCGCAUGGAGCAUGCAUUUCCACUUGCAUUGUAGAAAUUUUGAUUUGUUGGUCCUUCUUGUUCUCAACUUGUAAUUUACUUUGAAGUGUGAUUAAGACAAAUGACAAACGAAAGUGGAGAAGAAUCAUCUAUUUUGUUGGAGUCAUUCAUCCUUCCUCUUAUCCUCCAAAACGACUUUUGUGUUGAUUGUUGCAGGCUUUGUCAUUAUUUUGGAGAGACAAGUCAUCCUUUAAUUACUACACCUACCUACAGAAAAGUAGCUGGUCCACUCACACAUGUUCCAUACUUGACCAUUUAAGUCAAUAACCUUGAACUAUCGCAUGGAUUUCCACUUGCAUCGUGGAAAUUUUGGUUUGCAGGUCCCUAUUAUCAUCAACUUGUAAUUUCCCUUGAAGUGUGAUUAAGAUAAAUGACAAACGAAAGUGGAGAAGAAUCAUCUAUCUUGUAAGAGUCAUUCAUCCUUCCUCUUAUCCUCCCAGAAUGACUUUUGCUUUUUGCAACUUGUGGAAAAUAAAUGUGAAUAUAUCUCUCAAGAGCUAAAGCGUUUUCCGUGUAUUUUAGCCUAGUCCAAAUAAUGUGAAUUUCGCAUUUUGACUGUUUGCAACUUGUUUGGAAAAUAAAUGUAAAUUUGUUCUCUUAAGAGUUGAGACGAUUUCCGCGUUUUUUAGCUUGGUCCAAAUAACGUGAAAAAUUUAUGGAGUUUAAUUGAUUUGUAGAGAUUCCAUAUAAAGUUUUGAUUCAAUUCCCUUGAAAUCUCAUGGGAAGACAUGACAUAUUUGGAUGCUUAAAAUACAUCUCAAUUGAAUACACCCCCUUAUUGUGAUUGGUUGCGGAGCGGUGAUGGGUUUUUUAUGAUUGGAUUGUUUUCUUGUGUGUACUGUGUAGGCUUUUGAGGCUUUUCAUGGUAUUGAGGAAGUUGCAGAGCUCAUAAGGGACAAGCAUGUUGAUGAGAAUCUCAGGUUUUGUUUUAUUUCUCUUUGCUUGCUUGAUUCUCGUUGUCGUGAGUUGUGAUUUGAAGCUCUAUCUGCUUAAUGUCUUUUGAAUUAGUCCUCUUGAUUAACGAACAGUCACAAGUGAAUAAAACGCAAGGAACUUUUGUCACUAAAUGACCAAAAGUAUUGUCUUGAUCAAAUGACAGUGAUGAUUCUUCACUAACAGCAAUUUAGCAUAAUUUCUAUCCAAAUACAUUUAAGUCGGUCAAUUAUUGUGUGUCUUCUAAUCUAAUAACGCCAAGACUACAUUUGUAAAGACCCCAAUUGCAGCGUAAUUACUCGAAAUACCGGAAACUCUUGAAAACUUGCUGUCAAUAACCUUGAAGUAUCGCAUGGAGUAUCGCAUGGGGUCCAAGACAAGACAAUACAAUUCCACUUGCGUCGUGGAAAUUUUGGUUUGCAGGUCCCUAUUAUCAUCAACUUGUAAUUUACUUUGAAGUGUGAUUAAGACAAAUGACAAACGAAAGUGGAGAAGAAUCAUCUAUCUUGUGGGAGUCAUUCAUCCUUCCUCUUAUCCUCCCAAAAUGACUUUUGACUUUUUGCAACUUGUUUGGAAAAUAAAUGUGAAUAUGUCUCUCAAGAGUUGAGGCGUUUUCCAUGUAUUUUAGCCUAGUCCAAAUAAUGUGAAUUACGCAUUCUGACUGUUUGCAACUUGUUUGGAAAAUAAAUGUAAAUUUGUUCUCUCAAGAGUUAAGACGAUUUCCGCGUUUUUUAGCUUGGUCCAAAUAACGUGAAUUACACACAUAUAUGUUGUUUUCUAAUUCCACAAAAUACAAAAAGACUUCUAAAAUGUAAACAGAACAAAACAAUCAACGCCGAAUUGUGUUGAUUGUUGCAGGCAUUGUCAUUAUUUUGGAGAGAAGAGUCAACGUCUAAUUACUACACCUACGUACAGAAAAGUAGCUGGUCCACUCACACAUGUUCCAUACUUGACCAUUUGAGUCAAGACAACUCAGUGUGUGGAUCGUAUUGUGAACUAUUACGUACUCACCCAGCCUUAUAAGACACUCGCAUCUUUCCUUGUGCUCCUAAAUCAAUUCUGAUUGUACACUUCUUCUUCUUCGUUCUUCAAUCAUCUUUGCCUUGAUUUUGUUGAAUUAAGAUGGAGAAUGACGGAAUCAGGUGCUUGAAGAAAUUCUUUCACACUUUCAUUGUGGUGCUACUUUUUCUACAAUGUUUCAACCCUUCCCUAUCCUCUGGAUUCUAUAAUGUUUCUUUCGGUUUCGGAGCAAUUGGCCACCGGGUGGUGACGAGGUGCAUAGAGAGUGAAAGGGAAGCACUCAUUUCUUUCAAACAAGGUCUGAUUGAUGACUACAAUCUCCUCUCCUCCUGGGGAAGAGAAGAACACAAGCAAGAUUGUUGCAAAUGGCUUGGCAUCCACUGCAGCAACCGAACCAACCAUGUUACUCAACUUGAUCUUGGAUGGUAUCAUAUGAAUGAAGUUUACUCACUUCAACAGAAAGGACAGCAGGAGUAUCCUGAAUAUUACUUUCAAGGUAAAAUGAUGAGUCCUAAACUAAUUGAGUUGCCGCAUUUGAAAUAUUUGGACCUUUCUUCCGUUAACUUCACUGGGACCCAGCUUCCAGAUUUCAUUGGUUCUCUUUCCAAUUUAAGACACCUCAGUCUCUGGGAUGCUUCUUUUGGUGGUCGAAUUCCAACUCAGAUCGGAAACCUUACCCACUUGCAAUAUCUUGAUCUCAGCUCCAAUCACUUUGCUAAUUUUGAAAACCUGAAUUCAUGGCUACCUCGUCUUUCUUCUUUAACAUAUUUGGACCUGAGUUCCAACAAUCUCAGUAAUGUUCCUGACUGGAUGGAAGCAGUUAAUAAGCUCCCUAAACUUACAAACUUGUCUCUGUAUUCUUGCAGUCUUCCAUCUCCUCUAAUUCAUUCCAGUACUCUUUUUAACAUAAAUUCUUCUAAAU